rnacentral:lncRNA from 1 species
CAAGACUACACUAAUCCCUCAUCAGUCCAGUCCAUCCAUACUUCUUCUUCAGGCCUCAGCUACUAAACAAUAAACUCUGCUCCACUCAAUUCUUUCCUCUGUUUCUUGUGGUUUUUGUCUGAAAAUGGCGGCAUCAGAAGAAGUGAAAGUGCCAAGAAUCAAGCUGGGGUCGCAAGGUUUUGAAGUUUCAGCUCAAGGGCUGGGCUGCAUGGGCAUGUCAGCCUUCUACGGGCCGCCAAAGCCCGAGCCUGAUAUGAUCAAACUCAUCCACCAUGCUAUUAGCAGAGGCAUCACCCAUCUUGACACCUCCGAUAUCUAUGGACCUCACACCAACGAAAUACUCAUUGGCAAGGUACCGUAUUUGCAAAUUUUCUGCUGUUGUGUGCCAUGCAUAAACUCUUGUACUUCUAAUUUCUAAAAGAGCAUAUUUGUAAGUAUUUUAGUUGGGUAUAUUAUAUUUAAACCCCUGCACUUGAAAUCUUGUCGCCCUUUAUAUUAUAUACGACAACUGGUCACAUCAAAGUGAAAGAGGAGGGCACUGUAAUUUUUUAUAUUGAAAGGUAUUUAUGUGUAAUUAUCAGAAACUUCAGGGGAGGUUUCUGAAAUUAUCCCUAAUAUUUAUACUAUAUAUAAAGGGAGCCUUAAAUUUGGUGUAAACUUUUUUUGUCAUCUUUUAGAUUUCCAGCUUCACCCUCUCGAUCACUUAAUUAUACCACCAUAUUGCUAAUCAGCUUAACCACAAAUUAACUUUCACCCCAAUUAUCUAAAUAUAUAUUGCCUACAUAACUACCUACAAACAUUGUAACCAACAAGUUAAUUAAAAUUCUAUUAAAGAACUAUUUUUUUGACAAAUAUUCAAAAAACUAGUAAAAGAACUAUAUUGUCUCCCUUAAUUUUGUUUGUCAGCACUUAAACUCCAUCUGUUUAAAUUGUAAGUAUUAUUAGUCAAAUAAGACAAUAAUAUUCUUCAUUUUUUCAGAUGUUUGUCCUCAAUUGUAAGAGAAGGUGUAGGUCUAGCACAUACGUUGAAUAGCUGUAUCCGAUUAGAAGGAUUUAGAACUCUUCUACCAUCUCUUUUUUUUUUCUUUUGUUUUUUCCUUCAAAAUUCUACAUCAUAAUGGAGUUGGUAAAAUAGUACUAUUUUCGUCUUUGAAGUUAAAAUUGUCAUCAAUUUAUGGAAAGUUUACUAUUACUCUGAUAAGAGAUGUUAAAAUUUACUUUUUACGAGCACUAAAGUUUUAAAGAUUAUGAAAAGAGAAUUGUAUGAAGGAAUAGAAGGGAAAAGAAAGGUAAGAAAAUGGAUGGAUUGUGUUUGGAUUGAUUUUGGGUGGGGAAAGGAGAGGAAACGGAAAGAAAAGGAAAUGGAUGGAUUGUGUUUUGCUCAGACAUCAUUUCCAUACAAAAAUAGACGGAAACAGAGGGAAAGAAAAUCUAGUUGAUGAUUUUCUUAUAAAAUGCCUCAAGCACCCAAAUUUUACAUAAACUUGAGUAACCAUGUGUUUCAUAUCUGUAGAACUUGCCAUUUGUGAAACCUGCUUUAGAUAUGAAUUGUGGGAUGCAACAGCAGGCUAGGAAUGUUUGACUAAGCAACUUAUGUAAAUAUUUUAUCGUUAAGUGAAGUUCCUCUUUUGCUGUUCAAAAAAAAAAAAAAAAAAGAGAGAGAGAAAAACCAUUCCUUUAAUGUCUGUCAUUCUACCAAACAGCAGAUUUAGGUUUUCUUUCUUUCCCAUCCAUAUCUAAUCCAAAUAAGGCAAAUGAGAACUAUUUUCCACUACUCUCCUUUCCUUUCUUUUUCACUAGGAUGUUUUAUUUAUUUAUUUAUCCUUUCCUUUGAUCCAAAUGGUUCCUAAAAGGGCCCUAAAUAAUUAUUCUACAUUGAUCAGUUCCCUAUUUUUGUAUUAAUUUGCAUGUGCACGAUUCUGUGUAUGUUCAUGUUGUGCAUCAAAUCUUGUGAAUGACAAAGCUAGAGUGUAAAUUUAAGUUGAAGAAAUAUAAACCAAAAAAGAAAAUGGAUUGGCUCCUUUAAGAGUAUCAGACUUCUAAACCCCAAGGAUUACAUAAUUUUCAUAUCCUUUGCUAUACAAAGAAGUGGCAUAGCCUUAACAAUGAAGUGCUGGAAAAACUCCAGAAGGACUGUGCCAUCCAUGAAAUCACAAUUCCGCUUGCUAUACCAUGCAUUAAUGUGUAUGCCCUUGAUGAUUAAUAUAAUGAAAUCAUGGUUCUAGGCCUUGAAGGAAGGAAUAAGAGCGAAAGUGGAGCUAGCAACAAAAUUUGCAAUCAGUUAUCAGGAUGGGAAAGUUGAUGUACGUGGUGAUCCAGCCUAUGUGAGGGCUUGUUGUGAAGCGAGUUUGAAGCGGCUUGAUGUGGACUGCAUUGAUCUCUAUUAUCAACAUCGCAUCGAUACACGUGUGCCCAUUGAAGUCACGGUUUGCUCCAUCUUGCCAUCCACCUCAUUCUUGAUGAAACAAAAGUUUGAUCAACUCCAAAUUUCGAAUAAUUCAGUUUCAUGUGCGUUUCAAUUCUUCAAAAAUUGCACAGAAAAGUUAGUCAACCUUAUGGUCUAGGCUAAUCUGCAGUAUGUAAAUCUUAUUUAGCACAGGCCCUGAAAAGUGAAAACAAUGAAAAUGUCUUAUAUUAGCUUGCAGUCCUGCUGAGGGAUAUACAGGUGAUAUCAUGCUAUACAUUGUACAGCUUUCCUUUAGAAGCAAGAGACCUGAGCAUUCUCUUUCAUUUGAGAUAGGCUAUCCAGUUGAGUAAUGAUAUGCUAUUUACUUACCUUGUCAUUCGUUUUCAGUCGGUGCCAAAAGCACUGCAGAUAGAAGUUUUUUAGUCGAUAUCUAAAAAACGUGGUACUCAUUUUGUUCAGAGUAUAGCUUUUUGUCUAAUUGUGAAAGCCAGCUGCGACUACCCCAUUGACCUCUCUAAGCAAUUCAAAGAUUGCAGCUGCUUGCUUACAUUCAGCUUUUAUGAAAACAAUUUCUGUCUUCUUUUUCUAAUAUAGUCAGCAAAGAAUUGUCUUGUUUUUCCUGAGUAUUAGGAAGAAACUUUCUUGCAGUUUAAUCACUUAAAAUACAGGCAAGUAUAAAGGAAAUCAAGGAAAUUGACAACUGAUAAUUGAUAUGUACAGCCAUUAUUAUAUCUAGACGAAGUCAACAAUGUCGUGUAAUCAUAUUGGAGGAGCAUUAUGUUGGCAUGGUCCGGUGGGCUGUACAUAGAGAAGUAUCACUGGAUGCUUAUUGCCAUUUUUGUCAAUUAUUGAUUUCAGUUUGACGUAUACUUUGUCCACGACUUCAUUGAACUAGUGCAACUUUUACUUUUUUGCACGUAAUAUUUCGAUUAUCUGCCUAAGUAUUGAAUGUAAUAAAUCAGCUUUGCAUUUUCUUGUCCAUUGAAAUUCUCUAGAUAGGAGAGCUCAAGAAACUGGUUGAAGAGGGUAAAAUAAAGUAUAUAGGUCUGUCUGAGUCCUCAGCUUCAACAAUUCGAAGAGCACAUGCUGUUCACCCAAUAACAGCUGUGCAGUUGGAUGGUCAUUGUGGAGCAGAGAUGUCGAGGAGGAGAUUAUUCCCACUUGCAGGUAGUGCAUAUAUUCUGCUGCAUUUUCUACGUGGUCUAGAAGAAAUAUGAAGUUCUUAAUUCAGUUUUUGGUAUAAUCUUUCAGAGAGCUUGGAAUAGGGAUUGUUGCAUACAGUCCACUUGGAAGAGGAUUCUUCUCUUCAGGUCCAAAGCUGGUCGAGAAUUUGGCUGAAGGUGACUGCCGAAAGGUUUGUGCAUAUCCAAAACUAUGAAGUUUUUGAGUAUAGAUUGUUUAUAGUUCGAAUAAGUUUCUCACUCAUCUACUUUUACCACUUCAGUGACAAUCUUGCUUGAUAUCCCUAUUCUUGUCUAUCUGUCAUAUGUUGCUGCACUUUUUGAUGUCCAAUAAUUUGAUUAAGCCUUAUAAUAUGAUCACAUUUAAUCAAAUUUCUAUUAAGCAGAGCAAAUCAACAGGCUUUUUUUUUUUUCCUGUCGAACAAGUCUUGAGGUCUUUAGUUGAUUGAAUGAAUUCAGAUUUUGGUGUCCUCUGUAUUUAGUUCAAAUUAAAAGAUAUGGCGCUAGCUUUGUCAGAUUUUAGAUCUUAUAUUAAUUGAAGGUUGUUAUUGCAUGCUGGACAACAAUCACAAGCAAUCGAUAGUAUCGAAUUUUAAAGUGCAAAGAUGUCCUAAGACGUCAAAACAGGAAGAAACUAUGUCACUUUUUAUGUAAAAGUCUCUUUUCAGUUUUGAGGGGAAAUGGACCUUGGACUUCAAUUUCAUCAUUUAGUCUCAGGCACAGAAUUUCAUCAUUUUGUCCUGUGAAACUAUCAUUUUUCCUUUACCAUUAAUCCUAAAACUGAGUUUCAUUGGUCAGAAGUGUACUUCUUAGUACAAACAAUAGUUGAUAUGCAUUUUAAGGUUCCCCUUUGAUGGGAAAUGUAUCUCAGAACUUAACUCCAACAGUUGAUGUUUCCUACUUGGAUUAUUCAGUCCACCUUGAUGCAUUGUUCUUUGCCCUGAACUUGUGUCCUUCAAACAAUAUUGCUGAUCAUCUUGAAGUAAUGUACCGUCUGUUCAUUUCUCCCUUCUGAUUUCUUGCAUUAUAGUUUGCUCUUUAAUGGGAAAUGUAUCUCAUGAUCUACCUUCUACAAUUAAUGUUUCUUAAGAGUACUCAGUCCAGCUUACUGGAUUGUUCUUUCCCCUGAACUUUGUACACCUCAAACAAUACUAUUGAUCAUCUUGAAGUUAUUCAUAUUGUCUUCAUUUGUAGACGACACAUGCUUCACUUCCUUUUGCAUUUCUGGCGUUACAGUAGCAUAAAAUUUUGAAAUUCAUACAAUGUAGGGUAUGCCAAGGUUUCAAGCAGAGAAUUUGGAGCACAACAAGAACUUGUACGAGCAGGUCAAUGCCAUUGCUUCAAGGAAGGGUUGUACCCCAUCACAGCUAGCUUUGGCCUGGGUCCAUCACCAAGGCAAAGAUGUUUGCCCCAUACCUGGCACUACCAAGAUUGAGAACCUCGAUCAGAAUAUAGGAGCUUUGUCUGUGAAACUGUCGGCAGAGGAAAUGGCGGAACUUGAAUCUAUUGCUUCGGCUAUCAAGGGUGAGAGAUACGAGUCUGACGCUGGGCUUGGUACUUGGAAAACUUCUGAAACUCCGCCUUUGUCAACCUGGAAGCGGACAUGAAGACAUACCUUUGUUAUGGCAAUAAUUCCUUCUAGCUAUGUGCCUGAUGGUGGAUUUCACUAUAUUGAGAGUUGAGUGAUAUGUAAUUGUUCCAAUAAAUUUUGACAUACUAUUGUCUCUAGGGCUAUGUCAAGUAAAGUUAUAAGAAGAAUGGAGUAUCUUCAGAGAGGUUGUAAUAAAUAAAGAUCUGGUCAUGUAAAAGCAGAAUAUAAUCUUCCUUGCAGUUGAAUGCAUUAAGAGUUAUAUAUUGUACUUUUGAAUGAUAAAGUGGUCCAUUUUUUAUUGCUCAUAAAAUCCACCCAGAUAAUAUUUCUAAGCCAGAAAUGCCAAAAUUAUGCAAUUAAAGGAACUAAAACCCUAGGAAAAUAUUAGGGUUUUUACGGGUUCUCACACUCUUUUUUUUCGGGGCGUCACAGUGAGCUAGGUGGAGCCGGUGGGGCCUACUAGCUACUCUUCGCGACGUGAAUUUUGUCCUUUUGUUAUCCUUGUUCGUUAAGUAAGUAUUCAGGCCGCUCUUAUGUGUUAGUUGCUUAUGUGUUUCGAUAUGUAUGAAAGGGUACCUAGGCGAGAGUGUACUUUAUCGCACUCGACCUAAACCCUAAUUUACGUUGUACAUGGCAUAUGUAUAUGAAUCAUUUUGGAACUAAACCCCUUGAGCUUGUGGUUCGGGGUGACUUUUGAGAAAUUUUGUGAAGUUUGUGAGUUUGGGGCCCGAUCUCAUGACCUAGAUGGACUAUUCAAGCCGGUUAGGGAUUGGUCGAAGUCAGUCCAACCUGGUUUGAGGUCACUAAGUUUGUGAAUCCGGUUCACCGAUUAUGUGGACCAAGUUUGUGACCCGAUGUGACGGCCCUUCCUCCCCCUAAGGCGAACCAGAGGGUUCGGCGGGCCGCCUGCCCAGCUCUCGCCGGGACUCAGUCGCUCACUACAGUCCUCAAAUAAAUUGCAAGAUAUAAAUCUCAAAUAUUACUCAAAUGUUCCAACAUUUACAUAUCAAAAGCGAAGCGUCCACGCUUCCACUGCGCCACUCUGAUCCAUGAUCCCAAUUCUUAUACAAGAGAAAUUCCACAACAAUAAAAUCACAACAAGCCUUCCUUCGCCACGAGCCCUGUGGAGGGGAAUAAAAUAGUUUUGGGGUGAGCUAGAAGCUCAGCGAGUAACCAUUAAAAUCAGUAAUCAAAUCGGUUUCACAAUAAUUCAUUUCAAUGAUGUCAUAAAUCAAAUGAUAAGUCCAGAAACAAUUACAACAUUUACAAUACAUUAAAAUGGAGUAUCAAUAAUUCAAGGAACAUUUACAAUGGAAAGCGAUAGUAACAUUCAUUAAAAGGAUACGGGCUCACAUGGAGCUAUUUGUUUGUUCGUUCGUUCCCCUGACAUUCCCCCUUAUACCUCCAAUCGUUUGAAAAUACAUUUUUUGUAAGUAGAAUCCCUCGUUCAUCCCCUUUUCGGGACGUUGACCGGAUUCUACCCAUCCGACCAUUGGCCGGACUCCACCCAUCCGGACGUAGCCGGACUACAAGGUAAUACUCAAGUAUACCAAAUUCACCCAGGGUCACCAUAUCGCCCGACCGAGUCCGCUUCUGGAUUGAGUCGAUCGGUAACAAAGGGCAGUGGCCAGUUCAGCCAAACGGCUUACAUUCAUGCGCAACUAGCAUUGAAUCAUUAAUCAUUGAAAAUUUCGUAUUUAUUUAGGUCGAGUGCGAUAAAGUACACACUCGCCUAGAAAACUCGUUUUAACAAUCAUUGAAAGCACUUAACACAUUAUCUAUCAAUAAUAACAAGCCAAUAAAUCAAGGAAUACAGCAACAAGGAACACUCAUAUGCAAGCACGCAUGAUAUGCAAGAAAACAGUUCAAAAGUAACUUUGGAAACAGUUUAAAGGUAACUAAUGCAAGAAAACGGUUCAAAAGUAACUGUGGAAACAGUUCAAAAGUAAAUAAUGCAGGAAACGGUUCAUAAAUAACUUUAGAAAUAGUUUGAGGUCACUCACCUCUAUGGCUCAGAAACCAUCCAUCAUAUAUCAUUGCCUUGCUCAAAUCCACGUCUUAGAUCACAAACUCAAAGCAAUCAAACCCUUUAAAACUUCGGACAGCACUUCCCCUAAAUUUGCUUACUUUCCCAGCCAUCAAGGCUUCAUUAUUUCCUCAGCCAGUCCCAAAGGUACACACACAACAAAAAGUUCAUCCAAUAGUCAUUCAGCAAGCUCCAAGUAGUACUAGUACAAGUCAAGCUAGGGAAAAGUCCGGAAAUGAAAGUUAAGCUCAAAACCAGAAAAACAGUUUUGACGUCAUUUUGCGGUAAUGGUACCAAAGGCUCUUCGAUUGUCGGAUGAAGGUACAAGACCCACCGUUUCGAAGCUAAGAGACAGGGCUACAAUAUUGUAGAAGGUCACUCAACCCAGUUUCGAGUGUAACCAGGUCAAAAAUGCAAGAAACGACACCAGAACCGGAAAAAUAGAUUUACAGAACGUAUUCUAGCGGAAACAUCAUAAAUCAGGCUAUCCAAGUCCAAAUCCAGAAAUUCCAAAACCAGAUGAAAGAUAAGAAACAGGGCUAAAUUUUAUCAGAAGGCCUCAACAACCAAUUCGGAAGCAAUUCCAGCCAAAACAACCAAUUACAGGCGCAAUUCUUACAUUCGGGUAAAACCAGAACAGCAAUAGUAAUUUCGACUUAUCUCAUUUUACGCUACUCCGAUUGACCUGAAAUUUUGUAAACACCUAUAAAAUAUCAUUACCUACAACUUUCAUGUUUUAAGCCAAGGCCAAUUCGGCCUCUAUCUAGGACCUAAAAUUUCGGACAGAAUGCUCCCUCAAGAACCCUAGUUUUCUGAAAUUUCUUCCAAACCAGAAAUUGGUUGCAAUUAAUCAUUUUUCCCACCUCCUUAAGUCAUUAUAGACCAUUUUCAAUCAUCAUAGAUAGCCACACAAUCAUGCUUAUAUUAAAACAGAAAAAUCCCCAAAAUAAUAAAACUUGAUCAUUUCAACCACAAAUCAAGAAUUAAUCCAUAAACUUGCAUCUUCUACUACCACUAAGCAUGAUUUAAGCAUCAAUUAAAGGAGGAGAGGGGUUCAUCCACUACUCACCUUAGCAAUACAAGAGAUAGAGCAACUAGUCACCUUAACUUUUCAAACAACUUCACAACCAAGCUCAACUCCACCAAACUAAGAGGUUUUAUGGAGUAAAUUCAAGUUUAAUCGGUUAGAAUUGAAGAUUGAGUGAGAUGAGAAGCAAGAAAGUUGAGAGAUUUUUCUUCUUUUCCUUUGAGAGAGAGCCGGCUAUGAAGCUUAGAAAUAAGAAUGAUUUUUGGGUCAAAAUUGAGUAUUAGUAAAGGUAAGAAAUAAUGGUCAAAGUCCAAGAUUAAAUCACAAGGUGACACUUGUCACCUUUUUGGUUUAAAACUUAUCUUUUUGUCUCUCCAAUACAAAUAUCUUAACACUUUGUAAAAUAAUAUCACUUAAUACAAAAUUCCAACAAGUUGUCAAAAAUAUAAUGCAUUUACCGCACUAGCGGGUCCCACGUUCAAAAUACGCUCUUAAUUUCUCAAAAACUAACCGAUACUAGAAAAAUCAUUUUAAAACUAUAUUUGCUCAUAAACUUUAUCUGGGGAAUUUUUCUAAUCAAGAAAAUGUAGAAAAGGCGGGCGAUUAAAAAAAAUAAACCCUAGAAAAUUAGAAAAUUUCCGGGUUCUCACUCUUAUUCUUUCGGGGCGUCACACCCGAGCUUGUGAACCAAGCUCAAUUUCGUUCGCUCGAGUAAGUUUGUGAGGUGUCUGGCCAGAGAGGGUGAUAAGGUGUACGGUGGGAGUACAAGUGAAGUUCUACGGACCAUUAUUUGUGGUCGACGGAGUGUCGGUAGGAGGUCACGCGUGGCCAACGAUCUGGCUUUGGAGCCACCUGUAUCCUUAUUAUGUGAUGCUACUUUUCUGCUUUUGUUUUACUCUUACUGUGUAGCUGUUGCUACGUGAAAUUUACGCUUUCGCCCCUGUUUACUUACUAAGCAUAUAGCUUACCCCUUUCCUUUUGUUUUCCUUAGCAAGGGCCAACGCGGGGACUUUUGGCACAUACUCUAGUAUAGUUAGGUUUGAUUGUAAUAGUCGGACAGUUAGUAUGUUUGUUUUUAUUUUGGUGGUUUUUAUAAGGACCCUCCUCAGGGUCUACCUUCUGCUGCUUGUGGUUAUAGUGUAUUAGAGUGGUUUGACUCGAUACUUUUGAAGAUGUAAAUAGAACUUUUGGCGGUUGUACAUAUUAUGAAUAGUUCUCUUGUGAUUUAAUAUAGUUUUAUUAGCUUUGUGUUUCGAGUCCUGGCGCGAGCUAGGCAGGCGUUCCGCCGAUACCCUAGGGUUCGCCCUUGGGAGAAGUGGGGGCGUCACACAAAUUCCGAAAGAAUCAUCUGCUAUUUGACCAGACGCCAAGUUGGCAUCGGCUUCUCCAAGAGGUAUUUCAGAGGAUCAGAGCGGGAUAUGAGAUAUGUGGUGUGACUUAGCAGGUAGUGCCUCAGCUUUUGAGCUGCCCAAGCCAAUGCACAACAGCUUUUCUCAAUAAAUGAAUAAUUAGCCUCAUAUUGGGUGAAUUUCUUGCUAAGAUAGUAGAUGGCUUGUUCCUUCCUUCCGGAAUCAUCGUGUUGCCCCAGAACACAACCUACUGCUCCGUCGAGCACGGAUAAGUACAUGAUCAAAGGCCGGCCCGGUUUGGGUGGCACUAGGAUUGGAGGGUGCAGCAAAUAAUCCUUAAUCUUGUCAAAAGCUUGUUGGCACUCUUCAUUCCAAUGCAAUGGCACAUUCUUUUUUAACAACUUGAAUAGUGGCUCGCACGUAGCGGUUAAUUGGGCAAUGAAUCUUCCAAUGAAAUUAAUCUUCCCCAAGAAACUUUUCACAUCUUUCUGCGUUUUUGGCACUGGCAUGUCUCGAAUUGCCUUGAUCUUUGUCGGGUCUAUCUCUAUGCCCUUUUUGCUGACAAUGAAUCCCAAUAGUUUACCAGCUGGUGCUCCAAAGGCGCAUUUCGCAGGAUUUAGCUUCAAAUUGUACUUUUGCAACCUUUCAAACAACUUUCUUAGAUCAAUCAAAUGGUCUUCUGCUUUCUUGGACUUGAUUAUAAUGUCAUCCACGUAAACCUCCAUCUCCUUGUGGAUCAUAUCGUGAAACAAAGUAGUCAUAGUCCUUUGGUAAGUAGCUCUGGCAUUCUUUAAACCAAAUGGCAUUACUCGAUAGCAAAAUGUGCCCCAAGGGGUGAUAAAAGCAGUUUUUUCUCUAUCCUCUUCGGCCAUUAAGAUCUGAUGGUAUCCAGCGAAACAAUAACAAAAAGAUUCAAUUUCAUGUCCGGCAGUGUUGUUUAGAAUGAUGUGGAUGUUUGGCAAAGGAAAGUCAUCUUUAGGACUGGCUUUAUUAAGGUCUCUAUAAUCAACACAAACUCGCACUUCUCCACUCUUCUUUGGAACAGGGACUGGAUUUGAGAGCCAAACAGGGUAAUGAGAUACAAUGAUAAUAUUAGUCUUAAGCUGCUUUUUCAAUUUGCUCUUUUAUUUUGAGGCUCAUGUGUGGUUUGAAUUUACGGGGCCUUUGCUUCACUAGUGGGAAAGUUGGGUCUGUAGGCAAUCUGUGCACCACUAUAUCGGUCGAAAUGCCAGUCAUGUCAUCAUAAGACCAUGCAAAUACGUCUUGAAACAUAGACAAAAACUUGAUCAUCUCCUUUUUCUGCUUUUCGUUCAAAUGAAUGCUAAUUUGUAUCUCCUUAACCUCAGUUUCAGUGCCAAUGUCAACAACUUCUAUUUCUUCUAGGUUCGGUUUAGGUUUCUCCUCAUAUUGUUCGAGAUCUUUUGAGAAAAAAAUCAUAUACCUCCUCAUUAUCACUCUCGUCUUGCAAUUCAGAUUGCAUAAUUUCCAAGUCGUGAGUUAUAUAGAGAUUGUCAUCAUUGGAUUCCAGAACAGUGAUAUCCAUAAGGUCAAAUAAUUUUAUUUUUGGCCAUCUGAAAGAAUUAAGAAAUUCAAGGCAAUAAGCAAAUAAAAUACGCAAAUAAACAAGCAAACGAACAAUUGUGAUAAAAACUACUUGUGCAUUUUCAUAAAGCUUCAAAUCAAAGUGAAACAAGACAAAAGUCUAAUUGCUAAAGAUGCUUUCAUUAAACUAUUUACACAUGCAAGAAACAGUUUUCAUGAACUUUGGUAAAUGACAAUCCCCUGUAGAUUUACCGACACUCAUUUUGCACGGGAAAGUACUCGGCGGUCCAGUUGUGGAUGGUUCCUUGAGGAUUGUCUGGGAAUUCGGCAUCAUCUGACGGACCAUCUUCGGAUAUUGCUCCCACAAAAAAAUGAGUCAGGCUUGUCUCCAUUUCGUCAAUUGGGCUAAAUUCAGAUGUAAUGACUUCAGCCGGCUUUGGAAAGGUAUAGCGUAGUGGUGGAAUGUCUAAAGCACCUAACUUGCCUUCCUUUUCUACCCUCUUGCAUGCUUUCAUCUCUUUUACAUCUCUGGCAGUCGGACGGAAUCCCAAACCAAAUAGGUCAUUCUUUUCGAUGAGUUCCACGGACUUCAGAAUGCCUUGUAGAUUGCGUCUUAAUCCCUUAUCAAAUUUAUAUCCUCUGCGAAUCAUCUCCUUGGCCAUCAUAACACUGGCCGCUGGCAAAACCAUUUCGUCUUUUGAAUCCUCACUUGUUAUCCAACUCACGGAGACAAUAUCAACUGUACGGUAAGAAGACACUGAAGCAUUUCGGUUACCAUCCUCCUCAGGCUCGGAAUCGGCAAUUACAAUGCAAUCUUCUUCAGCAAAAAUGGUUAUCAGCUGGUCAUUCACUAUAAAUUUCACUACUCGAUGCAAGGAAGAGGGUACAGCGCCAGAGCUAUGAAUCCACGGCCGCCCGAGUAAAACAUUAUAGACACUAGGAAAGUGCAUAACUUGGCAGGCUAUCUGAAAUUGAGCGGGCCCUAUUUCGACCACCAAAUUUACUUCUCCUAUGGACUCCCUUUGGGCUCCAUCGAAUCCUCGGACUACGGUCUCUGAGGGUCUUAAUUUGACAUCUUGCAGCCCUAACUUCACCAAAGUGCUCCAGGGACAAAUAUUGAGGGCAGACCCAUUGUCAGUCAGUACUUUAGGCAACAUUUUCCCAUUGCACCUCACAACUACAUAUAAGGCUUUGUUAUGACCAGUUCCUUUCGCAGGCAGCUCUUCAUUGGAAAAAGUGAUUUGCUUGGCAGUCAAUACAUUUCCAACUAUGUGCGAGAAAUUGUCGACCGAAAUAUCUUUGGGAAUCUGAGCCUUAGUCAAAACUUCCAGUAGUGCAUCCCUAUGCAAGUUUGAGGAGAAAAACAAGUCCAAUAUGGAAAUUUGGGCAGACAUUUUGUUCAACUGUUCGACCACAUUGUACUCACUUCUCUUAAGCAUUUUAAGAAAAUCCCAUGCUUCUUUUUCGGUAACGGCGGGUUUGGUAAUUGGCUCGCGAUUGCUUACUUGGACUGGGGCGCUAGCAGUGGAUGAACUUGCAAUCUUUCCUGACCUCUUAACAACAGACACUUCUUCAUUCAAAAUUUGUUUACCCCCGAUUUGUAAAACGGGUUCAUUAUAAUUCCACGGCACUUGUCGGAAACUUAAAACUGGCACUUGUUCCGGGAAUUCAAUUACCACAGGUUCUAAAACCGCACUUUCAGAUGGAGUUAGAUCUAAAAUGAAGGGUUUUUUUAUCUUCCUCAUACAAUGCUUCCUCUAUUACAAAAGGUUGAUCCAUUAUCCCGAACACUUCUGUUUCAUUUGACAUGCUUCAGACAAGCUCCUCAAAUUCCUUAUCAUCCAUAAUAACUCCGACAGUAUUAGUGUGUUCUGGCAAAGGAUUCUUGCUUACGUUCGGGCUUUGUUCUUCUCUCUUCCUAAUCACGAUUUCUCCUGCUUCAAGCAUGUCUUGAAUUUUAUGUUUGAGGAGUCGACAAUUGGCCGUGGAGUGACCAGGUGCUCCUGAAUGAUAAGCACAAAUAGCAUAUGGAUUGUACCUAGCCGGCAUGCCAUAAGGAUAAGAUGGAGGGGAAAUCACGCCUAUUUUGGUGGCAGUCUUCAAUUGCUCAUACAAUUGGUCCAAAGGCCUGCCUAGGUUGGUGAAUGUUCGGGUAUGGUUUUGAUUGUGGGUGUUAGUGGGUUGGGAAUAGUUAUAGAUGGGUCUGUUUGGUGGGGGAAAUCUUAGAUUGUAAGUAUGACGUGGACGAGUUUGUUGAAAAUUUGAUUGAGAUAUUUGAAAAGGAGCCGUAGGCGGGUUGGCAUAAUUUGGACGAGGUCGGGGGCGGAUGAUAUUGGUAUUGUAGACAGAGUGAGGAUUUGGAUAGUAGGGAUAAUGUGGUGAAUAUGUUGGGUUGCGUUGAAAUCUAGGUCUUGAUGUAGGGUUUUGGUCCCAGAUAAAGGCAGCUUCCCCCUCUUUCUUUCUAAAUUGCGUCUUUUUCCCACUACUCCCUUGUCCUUGCAAAGCAUCCAACUGCGUUUUGAGGGCAGAGACAUUAACGAUCUUCCCAGCUCUUACAAAGUCAUCGUACUCUUCAAGCUUAUUGACAAUACCGGCAAACGAGUAUCCAGUCAUGCUGAAAAUUUCUUCAAAGUACGGCGGAUCAUGUGCCUUAAUGAAAGUGCGGAUAAUUUCGUCCUCAGUCAUUGGUGGGUAGACUUUUGCAGCUAUUUUCCUCCAUCUCUUAGCAUAAGUCUUGUGGUCCUCAGAGGGUUUUCUCUUUGUUCCUUCCAGUGUGGUUCGUGUCGGAGCCAGCUCGCAGUUAUACUCGUACUGCCUCACAAAAGCAUUGGACAAGUCAAACCAGGUCUUUACUUCUUCGGGUUUUAGAUUGGAAUACCAGUCAAGUGCAUCCCAUACCAGACUUUCCGGGAACAGCCUUAGAGGCAGAUUCUCGUCAUCUAUGUGCCUUCCUAACUUGUUAGCAAACAGACGGAGGUGCGUUUUGGGAUUGCCCGUUCCAUCGUACUUGUUAAAUUUUGGGGUCUUAAACCCCACAGGCAAUUGCACAUUUGGGAAAAGACAAAGUUCAUCAUAGUCCAGCACUCAUUGCUUGUUUAACCCUUGACUUUUCCUCAUAAAUUCAUCGAAAUGAUCUAGGCGCUUGAGCAGCUUCAUAUCAACGGGAGCAGAAGAUUCUCCCAUCUCUGGUUUGGUUUGAACAGUAUGGUCUGGCAGGAAGGGCUCAGCAGCAGUGUGAUAAAAGGUAUGUGGCUCAGGUGGUAUAUUUGAAGUGACUUGGGGUUGUGGACCUCGCAUAUGAGUAGGAACAAAUGAAGGAUUAGGAGGGUAAGUGUAUGGCAAAUUUGUGGUGGCAUAGGUGAAAGUUUCUUCGGGUGGAAUAGUUUGUGACGCCCCGAAAUGAUGAGUGUGAGAACCUGAAAAUUUUUGUAUAUUUUCGAGACAUUAUUUUGUUUCCUUGUCUACAAUUUUAUGUCUUUCUUCAAUAUAUUAAUUUCUUAUACAUUUUUAUAAGGGAAUAUAGUUUAAAUUAGUCCAUGUUAAUUUUGAAGUGUAUUAUCAACGUGGGACCCGCUAAUGCGGUAAAUACGAUAAAUUUUGACAACUUGUUGGAGUUUUGUAUUAAGUAAUAUUAUUUUACAAGGUGCUAAGAGAUAAUUAGAUGUUACCUAUAUGGAUUAGUAUUAGAGAGACAAACAGAUAAGUUUUAAACCAAAAGGUGACAUGUGUCACCUUCUUAUUCAAAGUUGGACUUUUGACCAUCUUACCUUAAUUUUACUAAAAAUUAAAAUUUGACCAAAAAACAAGCCAUUUCUUCCUUCUCAUGGCCGAAACUUGGAGAGCAAGAGAGAGAGAAAAACCUUCAUCUUUCACUCCAAUUUCUUACUUCAAUCUUGAGUUUUAACCGAUGGAAUUGCAAAUCACUCCACAAAAGUUGGUUACUAAGGAGAUUCCAAGGUUUUGGUGGAGUUAUUUUAGAGAAGGAACCACCAAGCUACUAUUUUUUGUGAGGUAUCAAAGUACGGUGUGUAAAGAUUCAUUGUUUGUUUCCAAUAAUGGUGAAUUCAUGACUUGUGAUGGCUAGAUAUGUGAUUUUAUGGAUUAGAGUGAAGUUAGCUAAAUUUCUGAUUUUAUGGAGAUUUUUCUGAUUUUAUAUGAUGAUCAUGGUUUAACCAUGGUAUGACGGCUUGUAAUGGUGUAAAAUGAAGCUUGUAUAUGUUAGUUGAAGUUGGUUGCGGAAAAUUUCUGGUUUGAUACGAAAUUCUAGGUUUAGGGUUUACAUUUGCCCUGUUCUGACUGGAUUUAUUUGAGCAUGUUAUAGGUCCAAUCAGGCUUAGGUUAAAACAUAAAAGUUGUAGCAAAUGAUGCUAACUAGCUACCUAUAAAAUUUCAGCUCGAUCCGAGCACUGUAACCUGUGAAAUGAUCGAAAUACCCAGAUAUCUAUUUAUGUGGCGUUUUCCAUUUUUGACCAUGAAAUUGCAUGAUUUGGCUUUGGAGGUCUUCAUAAGAAAUGUAGGUUUAUGUCUUGGCUUCGAAAGGCCAUAAGAUUCGUUUCAAUCCAAUAAGUGUAGCUUCAGUUAUGGAUAUUGUGCUGAAAGGUGUAUUUGAUAGUUUAUGAUGUGUAUGUGGUUAAUUUGAGAUGAAUUGGUAAUAUAUUGUAGGUUGGAAAUGAAGCAUUUAUGGGGAAAUGCUGUCUGAACUUUGAGAAUGUAUGAUUGCUUUGAGUUGAGAUUUAGGGCUUGGACUCGGGCAAGGUAAUGAUAUAUGAUGGAUGGUUUCUGAGCCGUGGAGGUGAGUGACCCUAAACUGUUUCCAAAGUUACUUACGAAGUGUUUAUUGCAUUAUUUACUCAUUUGCAUAUCAUGUGUGCCGGCAUGUGAGUCCAUGAAAUGAUUUAGCUUAAAUGAGUUCUUGGGGAGUCUUGUGCUGAACACCAACGUCUCCUCUACUAUUUACCUGGAGCCAACGUCUCCACCACUUUUGUGAGUUCGUGACAUGAUCUGGAGCACCAACGUUGCUCCCCCUUAUUGUUUAACGUUAAGUAAUCUUUUUGAGCAUUGGGUGUUUAAGUGCCAUGAUUUCAUUGGCUCACGAGAGCAAUAAACGUACAUUUGAUCUCUAAAUCAUGACAUCAUUGAAAUGCUUUAUUUUGAAAUAUAUUUGAGUACUGAUUUUGCUGGUUGCUCACUGAGCUUUUAGCUCACCCCAAAACUAUUUUAUUCCCCUCCACAGGGCUCGUGGCGAAGGAAAGGCUUGUAGUACUUAUUCACGUGACUGGAUGGCAUAUAUCUUGUACAGUUUGAAUUUGGAAUCAUUUUAUAUAUAGUUGGGAAUUGUUUCCGCUUCGCUUAUGACAUGUAAUUAGUGGAGAAUUUGAUGUAUAUUUGAGAUUUAUAUUAUAAUCUAUUUGAGGACUGUAGUGAACGUUUGAGUCCCGGCGAGAGUUGGGCAGGCGGUCCGCCGAACCCUCUGAUUCGCCUUAGGGGGAGGUGGGGCUGUCACAAAAUAGGGAAUGAUGGAGUAAAGGUAGCUUGAGUCGGAGGUAUGACAAAUGGUUCUUGCUUAGGUUGUCUGACAGGUACGGGCUCGGGUUGAACUCCGCUGCUGAUAAGCUCAUCAAUCAAUUUCCUUCGGGCCGCCAUUUCGGUAGCCAUCUCACCAAACUUAGUAAGCAUCUCGGUUAGCUGAACCCCUAAACUCGUAGUCUCAAGUUGAGCUGUAGUAGCAAACCUAUCCGAUGGUUCCGGUUGUGAACUCAUGUUUACACGACUCCUCUGGGUUUGACUACGGGAUCGUGUUAUGAUGGGGUUUCGACGAGAAGCUAUGUUUAAAUAUUACCUGAAAAUAUGAAAUGGCUUGCCUUUAGAUUUUAGUCCUGGCUUAGCUUUCCCAGCAAAAAUAAAAUAAAGAAAAAGAAAAAGACAAGAGUUAGUAAAUAUCCAAAAAAAUUCGGAUGCAUGUCCUAUUGGGGAGCCCUUUUUGUGCCAAGGGUGGGCCUAACAUAAUGCUAUACCUUCGGGGUAAAAUCCCAAUUUCAAACCUGUAAGUGAAUAUAAAAGCAGGAAUUCUCAUUAAAUAUGGAUAAACUCAAUCCUUCUUUACAAUCUCAUUGAUGGUUCGACUGACCAUUUUUACAAAAUCUUCAUGUCUAGCUAGUUUAGUGUGUUGGGAUUUCCUAGAACUCCCGAUACUAAGUUUCCGAAUCUCAUCUUGGAUUUUAUCAAAUGCAUCCAAUGCCUUUUCCAAUUUCUCAGUUUUUCUUGCCUCUUUCUUCAAUUGUGAUCGGACGUCUUCCAAUGCUUGAUCGGCCACCACAAUCUGCAACUGAUGAUCCUCCAAUUUUUUCCUGAAUUUCUCAUUCUGCUCUUCAAGACUAACGGAGACCAACGGUACCCUUUCUCUUCCUUGUUCCAUUAUUGAUUUGAUCCAGUCGUUGUACUCCAAGAUGACCUUAGGCUCUACUUUAUUCACUUGGUCCAAAUGUAGGUUGUCCAAACUACACAGAUUCCCCCAAGCUUCUAGCACCAUACUCCGGCACACAGUGAUUGUAUUGAGUUCGAUGCUUCCCACUCCGUGUAUGUUCUGCUGUAACAGCCCCACUUUCCCCUAAGGCGAACCAAAGGGGUUAGCGAACUGCCUGCCCAGCUCUCGCCAGGACUACGGAUCAGUUCACGUCGAUCUAAUACGUUCCGGAACAUACCCACACGCGUAAACAAGUCAAAAUCACAAAUUAAAAAAAACGAAAAUCGAAGCCGAUGAUGAACAGUACCGGCCACGUCAGAAUCCAGAUACUAGACUGAGAGUAGCCAAAAUUUUUCUUUUGCCGUUUGAAAUACGAGUUGAUCCGAAAUUCAACCAAAUAUCAACCAAACAUACAUACAUUGAAAUGUAACAUUUUCAAGCCAAAGCGGCAUAUCAAAAACCAUUCAUUACGAAUAUACAUGUUCGGUUUGCCAAUCAAAAGAAAGUGAACCCAAUACACAUUAGGGUUUCAUUCGAAGAGCUAUCCAAAAGAUACAUUUACAUGAGCUCAACUUGACAACCAACAAGUAUAACCUUUCCAAAAGUGGUCAUUUUCCUGUAAGGAAAACAAAUGGAACGGAAUGAGCUUAAGCCCAGUGAGUUACUACUACAUAAGCAACAAAGAUCACAUAAGCAUAAUCUUUCAUUUCAAGUACACAAUUAAGAAGUAAAACAAGUCGGUAAAAGGAUACGGACGGCUCUCAAGAGCCCAUUUCCACGCUUACAUUCUUGAUCCAAUCUCAUUGACUCUCCGUCAACGUUUAAGAGUACUAACCGUAGAACCCACUUCACUCCCAUCCCUUCCACCAAACAUACCCCAACCGGGCCCGCACUCCAAUCAGUAACUUUUGGUAAUACUCGAGUUUACCGGAAUCAAAAGUCUCAUUACUAUAAGAUUCCCCAGUACAGUCCCCGUGGCAUGUCAAUUUUCACGACCAAGCCCUCGCCGGCUCGAUUCAAUUGACUACCAACGGGGUUGAGCUCAGUAGUACAGUAAGGCCGUUGGAUACUCGUCCAAACGACACCAAAUUAGUUUUUCAUGAAGUGAAUUCAAUAUCUCAUAUAGCAAGUGCAGUAUAUCAGUGAAGCGGUAAACAGUCAUUAACGGUAUCACAAGGGGUGAGGGCGGUCAAGUACACCCUCACCUCUAUCAAUUCCAAUAGCCAAAUAAGCCUUCAAGACAUCAAAAUCACAUAUAGCAAAGCCACAAUGUAACAUUCAAGUGAGUAGUAUACUCACUUAUCAAUUAAGUGUUGUUUCAUGCACUUCCGUCAAGAGAAUGUCGUGAACCACCGUCGCGCCCUAGAACACGUAAACAAGUACAAUGAGACUCGAUAACGAGUCAUAAAGAAAUGCCAAUCACAACCCCAAUAGGGUUUCAUAUGCAUAUACAAGUAUCAUAGGUAACCAGAAAAUCCGGAAAUGCAAUUAACUUUGGCCCUGAAAAAAAUAGUUUUUGUCCUCAUUUUGCGGUAAUGGUACCAAUUCCACUACGAUUAUCGGAUGAGGGUGCAAGACCCACCAUCUCGAAGCUAAAAGACAGGGCUACAACAUUACAGAAGGUCACUCAACCCAGUUUUGAGUGCAAACAGGUCAAAAAUGCAAGAUACUAUAUCAAAAACGUAAAACAGAUUCACCAAAACGCAUUCUAGCGGAAACAACAUAACUCAGGCUCUACAAGUCCAAAUCCAGAAAUUUCAAAACCAGCUGAAAGCUAAGAAACAGGGAUACAAUAAUGUAGAAGAUCACUCAGUCCAAUUCCUAGCACAACCAGGUCAAAUAUGCAAGAAACUAAACCAGAACCGCAAUAACAGGUUUGCAAACUACAUUCUGCUGUAAUCAGUACAACUCAGUCUAUACAGGUCCAAAUUCCGAAAUUCCAAAGGCAUAUGGUAGCUAGGACAUCAAGCUACAUUUCAUCAGAAGACCUCAAAGGCCAAAUCAUGCAUUUUCAUGGUCGAAAAUUGAAAGACUACACGAAAACAGAAAUCUGGGCGCGAAACAGGUUUCGAAAACAGUCAAGGGUAUUUCGGUCAUUUCACAUGUUACAGUGGUCGGAUCAAGCUGACAAUUUACAGGAAACUAUUUUAUAGCCUUGGCUACAACUUUCAUGUUUUGGCCAAAAUCUAAUUCGGUGAGGAUCAGGGUGAAAAGUCACGGUCAAAUUGAGUGAAAAGGCAACCCUGUUCGCAGCACCCCUUCCUAGACCAGUCUCAGUAGUUUCGACUUAUCUCAUUCGACACUACUCCAAUUGAUCUGAAAUUUUACAGGCACCUUUAUAACAUCAAUACCUACAACUUUUAUGUUUUAAGCCAAGGCCAAUUCGUCCUCUAACCAUGAGAUACAAAAUCGGACAGAAUUGAGGAUAUAAAACCCUAACUUUCUCAAAUUCCUUCCAAACCAGAAAUUGGUUACCAUUGUCUAUCAUAUGCACCUACUAGAGUCAUUAACCAUCAUUUCCAACCAUCCUAGAUAGCCACAACAUCAUGAUCAUAUUAAACGAGAAAAUUCAUCAAUAAAUUGAAAACUUCAUCAAUUCAUCCCAAACCAAGAAAUAAACCACAAAUUUCAGCACUUUAGCUACCACUAAGCACAACUUAAGCUUCAUUAAGUCCAGGAGGAAGUUCAACCACCACUCACCUAGUAAACAAGAGAGGAAGAGUUGCUUGGCACCUUAGCUUCUCCAAACACUUCACCAAACCACUAAACAACACCAAAUGAAGAGGUUUUAUGGAGUAGAAACAAGUUUAAGGGAUUUCUUGGGAUGAUUUGAGCUAGAUGGAUGCCAACCUUUGAAGAGUUUUCUUCCUUCCUUUGCUAGAGAGAGAGAGCCGACCAACAAGGAGAAGAAAAGAGUGAACUUUUUCCAAUUUUUGAGAUAUUUAACCACAUGGUCAAAAGGUCAAAAAAAUGAAUAGUAAGUCAUAAGUUACCACCAACCUUAUAGUGACACAUGUCACCUCCUUAAAAGCAUUCUUAUCCUUCUUUUUUCCUCUCACAUCAAUCACAUCUCAUCCUCUACUUAUCUCUUAACACCCGAUAAAUUUCAACCAGUAUCCAAAACUUAACCUAAUUGGCCGAAUUUUUCCGAACUUUUCGCACUAGUGGGUCCCACGUCCGAUAUAUAUCCUUAAUUUUUCAAAAACUCUCCAAUACUAGAAAAAUAAUCUAAAAACAUAAUUACUCAUAAAAUUCACCGGGAAAAUUUUUUUCCUAAGCCAGAAAAUGCAGAAAACAUGCCAUUAAAGGGGAUAAACCCUAGGAAAAUUAUUAAGAAGAAUUUACGGGUUCUCACACUCACUCUCUGCGGAUACCCAAACUGUCUCAUUACUCGUUGUGGCACGUACACAAUCAAUCCACUGGUGCUCGCUAACGGGAUGAAGCCAAAUUGUGUAGUCUUGAAAGCUGGAUCCCUUACUUUCGUCCAAUCGAGAACCCAUUGUAUCUUAUCCGAAGCUUAAACAUUGAAUUCCUGAAUAAACAAACUUGGAGACGCUAUUCGAUAAUAUUUUCUAACCCUUUCUCGGUGCGACUCAACCCAAUUUGCUGUUGGAAGGCAUGAUCCCAAUGGAUUUAGCGCUCUUUUUGACAGAUGUUCAAUUGCCCACAUUUGAAGCACCAGGUUGGAUGCAUAGAAAAACCCCCUCUUCUUUUGGCAUUCGGUAACAGUGGUAAAGAUAUCAACGAUGAUGAUAGGCACCAAAGUAGGGUCUUUUCCUUGAUUCCUGGAAACACACUUUGAAUCAUGUUGACUGUUGAGAAAGUAACCUCUCCAUGCUUUUACGGGAAUAAUAGUAAACUGGUCAAGGCUAGUCCAAAGGCUUGUACUCCCUUUUCUUCCCACUGCUCUCUGCUAAUGAAGAAGUCAUCAUGGUGUCGGUCAUAAGAAUCCUUUUCCCCAAAUCAUUUGUACAAGAACUCCAAUGGACAUGAUUUUGCGUCCGGGUGCUGGUCCAUGCUAACUUGUCUUAACCCUAGAAAUUUGCAAAACUGCUCUCUAGUUCCACUAGUUGGAUACACCAUAGGGCAACCUUUCCCAGGCAUUUGCAAUAGUCCUUCUGUGACAGCCCCACCUUACCCUAAGGCGAACCAAAGGGUUCAGCAGACCGCCUGCCCAGCUCUCGCCGGGACUCAGUCAUACCUCAAUCAAAAUUGGAAUAAAACCACAAGAAUUUGUGUAACAAAAUCCAAAACUUAAAACGAAACUUAUUUACAUUUCUAUCUCAAAAGGGAGUUCAACCAUUGAAUAUACAAAGGUUCUCAAUUCCUCAUACAUCCAGCCCAUGCCAAGCGCUACGGCGAGAACCAUUACAAAAGAAAUGAAAGAACUAGACCAAGCUAGUCUGUACCGAGCUCUCGUCCUUGCCCGCCUUCUCCUGUUAAGGAAAACAAAACUAAAGGGAUGAGCUAAAAGCUCAGUGAGGUUCCGAACACAUAACCAAACAAUCAAUCCAAUAUGGUAAACAUAGAGUAUCAAUAAUUCAAGAAACAUUUACAAUGGAAAGCGAUAAUAACAUAUUCAUUAAAAGGAUACGGGCUCACAAGGAGCCAAGCUUUCGUUCGUUCAUUCGUUCUCCUGAUAUUUCCCCUUAUUCCUCCAAUCGUUUGAAAAUGCAUUUUUUUGUAAAUAAAACCCUCGUUAAUUCGUUCAUUUCAUUUCAUUUACCUCCUCCUGGACGUUAGCCAGGCUCCACCAACCUAUAAGGUAAUACUCGAGUAUACCAACGUUCACACCCAGGGUCACCAUAUCGCCCGACCGAGUCCGCUUCUGGCUUGAGUCGAUCGGUAACGAAGGGCAGGGCCCAAUUCAGCCAAACGGCUUACAUUCAUGCGCAACUAGCAUUUAAUCAUUUAAUCAUUGAAAUUUUCACAUUUAUUUAGGUCGAGUGCGAUAAAGUACACACUCGUCUAGAAAACUCGUUUUAACAAUCAUUGAAAGCACUUAACACAUUAUCAAUCAAUAAUAACAAGCCAAUAAGUCAAGGAAAUAUAACAAACAAGGAACACUCACCUAUAUACGCAAAACAACGUGCAAAAUAUCUUUCAGGAUAUAAUCUUUAGUCACCAAGAAAACCUAAGAUUAAACAAGAAAGAAUAUUACAGCUCAUCUAACACAAACAAUUAGGUGAAAUCAAAGAACUCGACAAUUGAUGAGUAGAACGUAUAAAAGACUUUAAAGUGAAACGAGGACAUUUGGACCCGUGAACAAAAAUAACUAGGGUUUCAUAGUCGAAACGUAAAAUCCAACUCAAAAGGGUUAUAAGAUUUUCCAAUGGAAACACUUGAACCAAAGACAAGUCGGAAUCCAACUAGAUAGGCUAAGAAAUAUUGUUUUCGGGAUCGUUUAUAUGGUUCAAAAUCAUCUCAUAUUCAAGUAGAUAUUAUAGACUAAAUGUCUUAAUGAAAUUCAUGUAAAAGGGAGGACAAAAUACCCAAGAAAACCCUAAACCACUCCUUUUUAUUUGGUAAGCGUAAGUAAACAUUUGGAGCUUUCAAUUGAAGAAGAAUCAUGUUUUAAGAUGGAAAACGGUCAUAGUAUUUGCCAAACGAAAAUAUACAAAUUCAAAUAGAAACUUAGCCCUCGAGCGAAAAUUUGGGCAGCACGCCCUUUGUAUUUACCUAUUUUUCCAGCCAUUUAUGGCUUCAUUGUUUUCCUCAAUCAAUCCAAAGUCACACACAAUAUCAUCUCAUUUCAAUUGCAAUUCCAUAGGCUCAAAGUCAUAUAAGUACAAAAAUCAAGCUAACAACAUGUGCGGAAAUGAAGUUUAACAAAAGACAGAUUUGAUGGGUUUUGCGUAACGGACACAUCCGAAGCUACGCUUAUCAGAUUGGGAUGUAAUUUAUACCGUUUUGAAGCUAAGAUAGAGGGAUACAAUUUUGAUGAAGACCACUUAGUCCAAAUUCCAGUGUAACCUAGUCAAAUUCCCAAUUCUCAUAACCAAGUUCCAACUAUUCGGCUAAUUAACCGUACUACCUUUAUAUGGCCAUAUCGCAGGCUACCAAAGUCCAUUUUAGGCAUUCUUGGAGGCGUUGAAAAGCUAAGACAAAGACCUACAACUUUUAUGAAGACCACUCAGUCCAGUUCUCACCCUAACUAGGUCAAAUUUACCAAAACAACUCCAGAUUUUCCAGUUCGAAAUUCACUGCAGAAAUCAACUAGCAGUCCUGCUUUAUUCACUCUUAUCUCAGUACACACAACUCCAAUUUAGGUAAUUCCAAAGCCAUUUGAAAGAUAAGAUACAAGGAUAUAAUUCUUAAGAAGACAUCAUCAACCAAUUUGGUAAUAUUCCUGGUCAAACUAACCACUUACUGAGGCUGAUUUUCAUUUUCGGACAGAAACAGGGUAACAGGGGUAUUUCGGUCUUUUCACAGGAUAUGUUACUCCGAUUGAGUUGAAAUUUUGUAGGAAACUAUAAAACAUCAUUCUCUACAACUUUUAUAUUUUGUGAUAAGGCUAUUUCGGCCUCUAAAAAGGUGAAAUAGAACCAGGCAGAAGCAGGGCAGGUUAUCAUCCAAGCUGGAAUUCAUGCAUUCAAGUGCUAAUCUUCCACAAAACAACAUCUAAAGCAACUAAAAACCACUAAUAAGCAAUUAAUUGAAGUAAAGAAGAGAUUCUUGGCAAAAUACCUUAUCUCCCUAUGAAAGAUGGUAGCUUAGGCUUUGUCCUCCAAAAGUAACUCCACAAACACCUUGGAAACUACUUGGAAAGUAAGUUUUAUGGAGUAGUUUGCAAAUUAAUCGGUUGAAACUCAAGAUUUGGGCAAGAAAUUGAAGUGGAAGAUGAAGAACUCUCUUGGUUUCUCUCACACUAAUUUCAGCCAAAGGAGACAAGAAAAUGAAUGAAUUUUGGUCAAAAAUCUGAUUUUAGUAAAGUUACCAACCUUGGUCAAAAGUCCAACUUCUAAUAGCAUAGUGACACUUGGCUCCUUUUAGGGUUUUAAGUUUAUCUCUUUAUCUCUCUAAUACUAAUCCAUAUAGGUAACUUCUAAUUAUCUCUUAGCACCUUGUAAAAUAAUAUCACUUAAUACAAAACUCCAAUAAGUUGCCAAAAUAUAUCGCAUUUACCACACUAGCGGGUCCCACGUCCAAAAUACACUUCAAACUCAAUGUACACUAACUCAUACUAGGAAGAUGAUUUUAAAACUGUACUUACUUGUAAAAAUGCAUAGAAAAUUUAAUAUUUUCAAGGAAAGAAUAAAAUAUAGUCAAAGAAAUAAAAUAAUGCUGAGAAAAUGUGAAAAUUUUUGGGUCCUUACACCUUCUAUUUCCUCCAGAGUAGGUGUUAACUCACAUUCCCCAAAUCGAAAAACGGAACCAUCGGGAUCCCAAUACUCGAGUAGUGCUUGAAUGAUUGCUAUGUUUGGGGUUAUAUUCAAGAGACUCGGUAGAUGCCCUAUAUACGGGAACAAUCGGUUCACUUCAUGCAUCAUGUUGUUCUUCCAAUCCAUCAGCUCACGAGGUAUAUAGUUUAACAUUCGGCACGGAGCCAUCUGGGGAAGGAUUUCACUGUUUAGUACCUUACCUUGGAAUUUUACCCCUUAGGCCAAACAAAAUUGUAAACAUGCAAGUCUCGUUGGAUUAAAUAUCCGAGACAUGGGCUAGCUUAAUCCUAACAUGGGAUUCCCUAAAUGUCAUUCCCUUCUAAGGUGGAUGCAUGAUGCCAGUUUAUCAAAGCGACUAAAUAUGCAGUACACCAAUGAAACAUGACCUAAAGGAACCCCUUUUCGUAUGCUGGGGUGAGCCUAAAAUGAUAUGUUAUUAUGCUACCAACGCAAAGCAAUGAAUUUAAACGUGUCCAAUCAAAUAGGGUAGGCCCCUAGAGAGUACCAUGUCAGGACUCUUAUUUUCUAGGGUUUAUGAAUGCAAUGGAGACAAAAACCAAGAAAAGUUAGUUCAAUCAGAUAAAUACACAUAACAUAUUGUAGCAAAGCAAUACAAAUAGAUAAAACAAAAAAAGGAAAAGAGGGGUUGGAUCCCUCCCCUCGUGGAUACUGUCUCUAAUAAGGUGAGGCAGACUCUACACUAGGUAAACUAUUAGGAAAACAUGAGGUAUUGGCUCACUAAUGCAUCUAGACUUGAUAAGGCUUCGGCUCCCAAGCCUUCAGACCUAAAGGUGAAGGGUCAUCACUCCCAAGACCUUUGGUCGGUGGCUCGAGUGAUCCCUUAGGCAUCGCUAUGGGCGCAGUGCACACCAUCUGCCUAUCUAAGGAAAUCAAUCCUAAUCCUACAGGGAGAUGUGGGAUAGUGCCCACGAUAAAGAAAAAAUAGGGUAAAUAAAAAUAUGCAUGCACGUAUGAGGUGCUCCGUUUGGAGGGGAGGGAUCGAGAACCAACGCGAGGCUCUAGGGUAAUAUUCCCCCACCAAAAUGCAAUGCAAAGCGCGGGAUCACAUAAAUAAACCAUUCAUCCAUCAAAUCAAUCGUACACAAAUGUGUGACGGAGUGAGUUGAUACGCGCGAAAUGCAAAAUCCUAAAAAAGGAAAAAUGCAACCCUAAACAUCCAAAUGUGAUAUAUGAAAAGGUUAAAAGAAGAAAAAGAUUGACUAAAUCAAAUUUGCUCGGACUCUCUAAAUUCCCAGUGGAGUCGCCAACUGUCGCGCCCCAUUUUUUUAAUAAAAAUAAAUAAAAGAUGAGUUUAAAAAAAUGGCUUUUGAUUCAAUUUUUGAUUGGAAAAUGAAUUUUUGAUUUAAAAGAAAAUGAAGAACAUGGGUCUAAAUGGGACUUGAAAAUGCGACGAUUUGACCCAAAAUAUAGUUUAAAAAUGGGUUUUUGAAUGGAAAAUGGAGUCACCACUUGGUAUAGAGUUAAGGGGUACCAAGUCGCCAAAAAUUGAAUUUUUAAAGAAAAAUUAGAAAAACCCUUUUUAAACGACUCCAAGUCUACGAAAAUCAGAGAAAAAGAUUCGGGAGUCACAUUUGAAGAAAGGGAAGGCAAGGAUAAAAAUCCAAGGCGCCCUUUCAACCUAGCUAAGGCUAGUUGCACGAUUUAAUCAAAGAUUUUCUUAUUUUAACCUAAAGAUUUAUCACAUUUGGAUGUACUAUAUGAAUGCAAACCCUAAACCUAAGAGAGUAUUGGGGGGUCGAAAUUUCUCUUCAAAACUCAAUUGAUGCCAAUCACAUUAAUUGUGAUGCCUAAUGUAGACUCUUUGGAGAGGUCACGAAUAAUGCAAAAAUAUGAGACUCUAAGAAAAGAAAAGGAAAAUAAAAUAAUUAUACAAAUAUGAGUGACCUAAAGGAAUGCAUCGUGUCAGAUGCGGGAAACUAAUGUUCGUGACUCAAUUUUCCCUUUUAUAGAGGGAAUACGAGCGUGCUAAGGCUAUAAAGCCAAACUCGUCCAUAUCCCAUAUUCAAGGGGGUUUUUCCUAGUCUAAUCAAGCAAAUGUACUAACCUAGGUCUAAUGCUUAGAUGAAAUGCAGGUCUAAUGUCAUGUUUCAUACAAAGGGGUAAGUAAUAUACAUAUAAGGGAAAAUAUGAGGGAAGGGAUAUACGUAUAAGGAGGGAUGUCAUGCAAAAAAUGAUAAAAGACCCUAAAAAGUGAAAAUAUGCAUGAGAUGAAGUGAUUUUAUCACACAAUCAUGAUCUAACGUGCGGAUGGUUCCUAAGGGUCUAGCGUUGGACUGGCCCUUAACUAACGUUCUCUCACAAGCAUUGGACUUGUAAGAGCUCGAAGGGAAGACCAUAACUAGCAUUGGACUAGCCACGGUAACGUACAUUCCAUCCACAUAAUCAGAUAUAAUACUAAAAGCAAAUAGGCAUACAAAACACAUAGUUUCACAUAGCACGUAACACAUAAGCAUGCUUGUUUAGAUGCAGAGUCCUAGGGAAAGCGAUUAAACAUAUAGGCAUAUAGGCACACACAAACACAUAGCACACAAGCCCUAUCUAUUACAAAAAGGAGAUGCCUACUACAAUCUACAGGGGGAAGACUUAUAAAAGUAAAUCCUAACUAUUACAUUGACUAGCUAAGACAUGUCUUCAAGAGAGGCGUCAAAACCUAGCUAUUACAAAUUGGGGUUCAAAUGCCCUCAAAUGACUUGCCAAUUAAAGAAGGCGAAGUAAAAAGAAAGCGAAACAGGUAAUUAAACAUUAAUAUAAUGAAAAGCGAAUUAAAGCAUGCAGAUUCACACAAAACAUGUAAGAGCACGUAGGAGAAAUAAAAUCAAGGAGAUAGAGGUUACCUCCCUUGCAAUGGUAAUGAAAUGAAGGAAAUAUUAGUUUCAAAACAAUAAAAGGGUCAAGGCACCAAUUAAAUAGUAAAGUAUAAACAAAACCAACAAAUCCCUCCCAAUUGCAACUUAAAUGAAAUCACAUAAUGCAUAAUUUUCAAGAAAGUAAAUUAUCGAUCAAAUUUCUAAAAUAGAAAAAAACUACCAAGGACCCAAUUGCAAACAGAACCAAUCACUCAAGUCCAAUUAAACAUUUUGGGGACUUCAAGGGUCCAAGAGCAAAGAAAGGGCCAAGUAAUGGUUCAAAUUGCAAUUACUCUAGGACCUAAUUGCAAGAAAUGAGAACAUAAUUGGGCCUUUGUAAGACAAAGGGAAGCUUAGGGGGUUAAGAAACAAAUUUUGAAAGCUAUUUUUUUGCAUGCAAAACCGCCGUGCAUCGACUAUGAACCAAUCAAGUAAGCUUCUGCAAGUUUUCCAACCAAUCAUCCUUUUUGCAACCUUUUCAUUUAACCUAAACAUACUCACGCACAGCAAAGCCCACGAUUCAACAAUUCAGUUUAAAAUGCAACAACCUGGGACAAGAGGAAAAGAAGAAAAGAAAAUCCACAAUGGAGUGCCAGGAUCGUUUGCUAAAAACUUCAACCAAAUUUGCCAGAAAACAAACCCAAAACAAGAUAAAUAAACCCAGAAACUGAUGGCUUCAACAACUCCAAACUCUCUUAAUGCCAACCAAACCCAAAAAUCCUUCAAAACAAGCUAUUGAGCAAGACUCCACAGAGGUGUAAGAAAACAGCUACUUAAGCAAACUAAACGAACAAUAGGAAACAAAAUGGAGGCAGCACAAACAAAAGGCAGCAGGUCUGCGUUACCACUGAUUGCUGUUUUAAACGCAGCAGUCCCAUACAUGAUUUACUAUCAAACAUCAAACAAAGCAACAAUGAAAUCCCAGCCAUUCCUGAAACUGCAGCAACCCAAAAGAUCAGAAUUUUAUUUGCUUCAGCAAGGUAGAGGACUCUAACUUUAUUGUAACGUCUCUCGGCGCCUCAUAAUAGUCCCAAACCUACUUAAACAUGCAUUGACUCAAAGCACCUAGGCCUCAAAACUGUCAUACAAAAACACUGGUUUCUUUUCUGCAAAUUCUUUCUGGGUAUACUCAUAAGUAUAUAAAUUUAACUAACAAAAACCCACCCUCGGCCUAAAACACGACUACCAAGCCUACUCUCUACGCAAAAUCUCAACAAAAAAUCUUAACCGAACCAUUUAAUCACUCUCACAGGAAACGAACAACAAAGGAAGCAAUAAACUGUCACGAGAGAUGUAUUGGAACAACUUUGGUCGAUUUUCACAGCAAAGAAAACACAAAACAACAUGGGUCAACUCAUUCCCCGCCCUAUCGAAUCCACAACUAGCAAGUUUUUAAAGAAAGAAGACAGCAAAAGAGCACGGCCACAAUCAUAGCGGCAGAAAUUUUAAUGUUUUUCUGAUAUAAAAUCCCAUAAUUCAUGAACGAAAGUGAUGGAAGGAUUACCUUUAACCCUCUGUUGAAUGGUCGAACGACGUCUGAACAGCGGAGAAAUGGACUCCAGCAAGAACCAGCUUCUUCUUCCUCUGCCUCUCCUUUGUUCUCUAUAGCCUAUAUUCCCUUGCUUUUCCUCUCGAUGCAGAUUUGCAACGAAUGACAGCACGAUGAAGAUGAUGACAGCUUCCUCUCUCACUCUCAUUCUCAGUUCUCCCUCGCCCUCUUCAGUUUUCUUAACCACCGCCGCAACUCCAGCUCUCUGGUUUCUUCCUUACCUAGCCAUCAAAAUCUCUCAGCCUCUUUUUUUUUCUUUCUUUCUCAGCCUCCGCUCUUUCUAUCUCACCCAGCUCUCUUUUCCUCAAAACCUCGCCGUCCUCCUCUCUAUCAGAAUCUCCCUAGCCGUCAACCUCACUCUUAGCUCACUCCAAACCCUCCUCCCUCCUUUCUUGGCUGCGGCUCUCCUUUUAUAUGCCCACUCAAAUCCUUAAGUCCUCACAUCAAUGGUGUUGAUGAAAGAUUAGUUUCUUGGGGAUCUUUUGAGCCUUAGAUCAAACCAAGUGGCUUGUUGUUCGAAUGAUCGAACGGAAGAGAAAAAAUAGAGCUCCAAAUUUUGUAUCUGCAUUUUUUGCAGAUGAAAAUGUAGAGGAGUUUUGAUUGUAUGCUUCUCGGGUAUAUGAGCUCUUUUUUUUCUUUUUAGUGAUGAUUUUCCUUUUUCUUUUUUUUUUAAUUAAAUAACAACGAACUUGAAUCUAAAAUAACUAAAGCAUAAUUUUGUGAAUGAUUUUCUUUUUUUCCAAUAAAUUCUAUGCUAAAAUAACUUAAAAAUAAAAAUAAAAUAAAAGACUAAAAGUAAAUAAAAACUAACAGAAAAAAUAAAAAUAAUAGUAAAUAAAACUACACUAAAAAUUUCGUGUCUACAAUCGUACAUUCCACUACCUCUGUUGGCUCAGGUACCGAUUGCUGGUCUAACAAAUACACCCUGAUUGGUACCCUUGACAUAGUCCCUCCUACAUUGGUCGGUUUCGGAUUCGAUUUGCCAGCCGACUGAGUAUCGCUGAUUAGCGAUCUGGUGCUCCGUACUUCCACACCUUAGGCACUUCUGAGCCUUUUUUCAGCAAUUAUCCUCGGUAUGGUUUGAUUUCCCACAAUAUCCACACGUCACUCGGGGAUGUAAGGAUCGAAAACAACCAAGUGAAAGAGAUAAACAAUGUAAAGAUCACAAACGUAACAAUAAGUAAAUAAAAUGGAAAGAAUUGCAAACCAAUUAACUACCCAACUCCUCUUAAGCUUGUAGAUUAAUUCAAACAAGUUUCUUCAAAUUGAUGAAUUACAAUCACUCUUGUGUCACAAAGGAAGGUUCACCUUCUCCUUACCCGAACUCCACUCGGUCAAGUUAGGACGUUUUACUAUCCCUCAAGACAACCCUCGCAGAACUACACUCACGAAGUAUUCACUCACAAAUGAAAAAAUUACAAUGAACCUCACACCACUAAAACUACAAAUCUUCCUUGGAGAGUAUUUUCUCACUAAAAUCACUCUAGAUCUUUUGUAUUUUCAGUGUGCAAAAGUUAUUUUGAAGAUUCUGACCAUGCUCUAUUUAUAGGAGAUCAAGAAAGUGCUUCAUUAAUACUUCCAAUGGAUAGAAAGUAGCUGAAUAGUCAACUAGCCAUUGGAGUAUUGGACGUCCAGUACUACCCAAGUAUGCGUCCGACAGCAAGCAAUGAGUUUACAACAAUAUUCUUCAAUUCUAUCGGAUGUCCCGUAUUGUCUUUGUGAGCGUCCGACAGGUUUCAUCGAGUUUAAACGAUCCUAUCGGACGUCCGAUGCUUGCGUUCGGUUGAGGUCAGUGAGUCUGUGGGAAUGUCUUAUUUCCUUCGGACGUCCGGUGGUGGAGUUGUUCAUACGUCCGAAGUUGCGCAAUGAUUAUCGGACGUCUGAUCCAAGCGUCCGACAGCUUUCAACAGCCUUUGUCCCUUUCAAUUGUACUUGAUCUUUGAAUCUGAUUUACUACACAACUGAAAAUAUUUCUUGAAGAGAUAUUAGUAUUAUCCAUUUUUUGUAAACAUCAAAAGUUAGGGACCAAGGUCAACAUUUUCUCCCUUUUUGAUGAUGACAAAACAAUGGAUGGAAGAAGGAAAAAAAUUGAGCAUAUGAGUACAAGCUCCUCCUCACUCAUUACAUCUAAACUUAUAAUCUCAGCAAAACUCCCCCUUACACAUAACAUCCAUUUCUCCCCCUUUUUGUCAUCAAUCUCAUACCGUAAUCCAGCAACAAUAACAGAGAAUCCAAUAUUCUAAACAAAAAUAGAGAAAUGAUACCAGAAUUCAGCAAUCACCAAUAUACCAACAUAUCACAGAGACUUGAUACCAAAAGAAGUACCAACAUAUCACAGAGAGUUUAACAAAGCAAAUCAUUAUUAGAUCAGAAUUGUUCUUUUUUCUCCCUUUUUGACAUCGUACAAAUUCAGUAAUAUUUAAAAAUAUCAAGAAAAACUCAGUUCAAAGUAUCAGAAACCUCAAAAGAGAAUUACAAAAAAAAGCAUUAUGAAGAAGAAUUACAAAAAUGUCAUUAUAAACAAAAAAAUAAUUACAAAAAAAUAAUUACAAAAGAGAAUUACAAAAAAAAAGCAUUAUGAACAAGAAUGUCAUUAAUCUUACCAAAAUCUCCUACUUGUUAGAGUUAAUAUCAUGUCUAACUAUCCACAUGUAUUUCAUGCCUCUUCUCAUAUUUUUUCUCACAUAACAAUCACUUUUCAUGUGACCUUUUUGACAACAAAAAUUACACAUAAUCAAAGGAUUAUUUACAUGUACAGAUUUAACAAAUCUAACUUGCCUUCUUUUGUAAAUGGUAAAUUCAUUUGCACUAGAAUUCAAUAUUUUUCCAUGCAUGUCAAAAUGAGGUUUUGUAUCAAUCCUUUGAAAGGAGUUUUGUUUCUUAUGUUGAAACAACUGAUUAAGAUCACCCAUUCUUCUUUUCAAGUCACCUUGUUCUUUUUUGAGUGUUUCACAAAGACUUGUUUUUCUAUCAAACUCAAAGUGUAAAAUAGUCUCACUCUUUUUUUAAGAAAUCACUUUCAGUUUUUAGUUUUUUAUUUUCUUGAAAAAGAUGUGCAUUGUCCUGAAGAAGAAAACUAAUUUUAUGUUUUAAUUCUUUGUUUCUAGCAUAAAAUUCUUUCAAACUAUCAUGCAAUUUUAUAAUGAAAGAUUCAAGAUCAUCAUCACUUUUAAAUUGAGAGUUAGAAGAUGUUAUCUCAUCAUCUCCAAUGGCCAUAAAAGCCAAUUGAGCAGAUUCUUCUUCCUCUUUAAUUUCACCAUCGGAGUUGCACUCAUUCCAUGUGAAUUGAAAGUUGUUGAAUGUUGAUUUUCUUUCUUUUUUCUUCUUCAUCAUUGGACACUCACCCACGUAGUGUCCAAGUUGGUCGUAUUUAAAAUAUUUAUCAGUUUGUUUUUUAUUGUACUCUUGCUUCCCUUUGUUUCUUGUGUUGCUGAACUGAUUUGGGAAUGAGUUACUGUUUCCUUCUUUUCUGAACCUUCAUUUGUUGAGCAUUCUCUUGAAACUUUUUGCGAUGAAAGCUAGAUCACUAUCAUCAGCUUCUGCAUCUUCUUCAUCUAGGGAGACAGAAUCAUAUGCAUCUUAAGAUGCCUUUAGAGCAAUGCUCCUUCUUACUUUCGCAUCCUCUUAAGAUGCCUUUAGAGCAAUGCUCCUUCUUACUUUCGCAUCCUCUUCCUCUUGCACUUUGGACUUAACUUUCAACUCAUAAGAGAUUAAAGAAUUAAUAAGAGAUUCAAUAGGCAAGAAAUUUAGAUCUCUAGCUUCUUCAAUAGCAGUCACUUUACUCUCCCAAUCCUUUGAUAAAGCAUUCAGAAUUUUUCUGUUUUUCUCACCCAAAGAGUAUUCUUUUUCCAGCACCUCUAAGUCCUUAAUGAGGUCGUUGAAUCUAUAGUACAUCUCAUCAAUAUUUUCAUGAGGUUCCAUCUUGAACGAUUCAUACUUGGUAACCAGAAUAGAUUUCUUUUGUUCUCUCACAUUCUCACUUCCUUCAUGGAUUUCUCUAAGUUUGUCCCAGAUUUCUUUAGUGGACUUACAACCCUUGACUCUAAUAGAUUCAUUUGAGUCUAAAGCACAAUAUAACACAUUUAUGGCUUUUGCAUUUAAGGUGAGAUGAGUUCUAUCCAUAGCAAUCAGUUCACUUCUUAUUUUUGGUCUAAAUUUAUGCGUAUUUUCAUCUAUAAGAGAGGCAUCAUAUAGACCUUCACUAAUAAUAAACUACAAUUCAAUAUCAAUUGAUUGCAAAAAGAUAAUCAUUCUUUCUUUCGAACUCACAUAAUUUAAACCAUUAAACAUAGGUGGUCUAAUGACAGAAUGUCCUUCAAAAAAUAUGGCAUUAUUGGUUGUGUGACAGCCCCACCUUCCCCUAAGGCGAACCAAAGGGGUUAGCGGACUGCCUGUCCAGCUCUCGCCAGGACUAACGGUCCAGUCUACGUCAAUCUAUUACGUUCCGGAACAUACCAUUGCGCGAAAACAAGUCAAAAACACAAAAUAAAAAAAAAUGAAAAUUCAAAGCCGAAAUGAAUAGUGCAGGCCAUGUCAGAAUCCGGCCAAAUAUUUUCCUUUUCCGUUUGAAAACGUAGUGAUUCUGAAAUCCAACUAAACAUCAUCCAAACAUAUAUAUAUAUAUACAUUGAAUUUCAGCAUUUACAACCAUAGUGGCAUGCCACAAACAUUCAUUAAGGAAGUACAUAUUCGGUUUGCCUAUCAAAAGGAAAUGAACCCGUUACACAUUAGGGCUUCAUCUCAAGAGCUAUACAAAAGACAUUUACAGGCUCAAUCUUGGCAAUUGACUAUCCAAUCCAUUCUCAAAAGUAAUAUAUAUCCCUGUAAGGAAAACAAAUAACACGGAAUGAGCUAAACCCCAGUGGUAUACUACUACAUAAGCAACCAAAGUCACAUAAGGAUGAACUUUCAUUUAAAGUGCACAAAUAAGCAGUGAAACAAAACGGUAAAAGGAUACGGUCGACUCUCAAGAGCCCAAUUCCACGCUUGCCGUCUUGAUCCAACCUCAUUGACCCUCCGUCAAUGUUAAGAGUACCAAACCGUAGACCUCACUAUACUUCCAUUCCUUCCACCCAACAUACCCCAACCGGGCCCGCUCUCCAAUUCAGUAGUUUUUGGUAAUACUCGAGUUUACCGGAACCAAGGGUCUCAUUACCACAAGGUUCCCCAGUACAGUCCCCGUGGCAAUUCAAUCUUCACGACCAAGCCCUCGCCGGCUCGAUUCAAUUGACUACCGAACGGGGUUGAACUCAGUAAUAAAGUAAAGCAGUUGGACAAUCGUCCAAACUACACCAAUUCAGUUUCCAUGAAAUGGAAUUCACUAACUCGUAUAACAAGUUCAAUAAUGCAGUAAAACGGUAGACAUUCAGUGGUACUAUCCAUAGGGGUGAGGGCGGUCAAGUACACCCUCACCUUAACCAAUUCCAAUAUCCAAAUAAGCCUUCAAGGCAUCACAUUUACAUUUAGCAAAGCCACAUAGUAACAAGUAAGUGAGUAGCAUACUCACCAAGCAAGAAAGUGGUGUUUCAUACACCGUGGUCACCAAGACGUCGUGAGCUACCGUCACGUCCUAACACAUGUAACACAUUCAAUGAGACUCGAUACCGAGCCAUAUAGCCAUGCCAAUUACAACCCCAAUAGGGUUUUAUAAACAUAUACAAGCAUGAUAGCAAACCAGAAAUUACAAAAUGGCCUUAGCUUAAGCCUUGAUAGGAAAACCGUGUUUGACCUUAAAAUGCGGUAAUGGCACAACUCUCACUACAAUUAUCGGUUGGGGGUGUAAGACCCACCGUUUCGAAGCCAAGAAACAGGGUUACAACAUUGUAGAAGGUCAUUCAAUCCAGUUCCUAACACAACUAGGUCAAAUAUACGAAAUACUAUACCGGAAUUCCCAAAACAGGUUUGCAAAACGCAGAAAACUGUAAUCGGUAUAUCUCAGUCCAUACAAGUCCAAAUGCCAAAAUUCCAAAGGCAUAUGUUAGCUAAGACAUUCAGCUACAUUUCAUCAGAAGACACCAACUUCAAAAUCCAAACCAAUUCCAGUCAAAAUAGCCAAAUACAAACUCAGUUUUCGCAUUCUGAUCAAAGCAGAACAGCUACAGUAAUUUCGUCAUAACUCACUCUACACUCAUCCAAAUGCCCUGAAAUUUUGCAGGAACCUCCUACUCAUCAAUACCUACAACUUUCAUGUUUUGAGCAAAGUCCAAUUCGGCCUAUAACCCUAUGAUCCAAAACCGGACAGAAUUGGGAAAAAUAUGAACCCUAACUUUUCAUUUUCCAUCCAAAUCCAAAAUUGAUUACAUUUUCUUAUCCAAUACACCUCAUAGAGCCAUUAUCAGCCAUUACCAUUCAUCAUACAAGGCCACAACAUCCCAUUCAUAUUAAACCAUAAAAAUUCCCAAUAAAAUAAAAAAUUCACCAAAACUCUUCAAAUCAAGAAAUAAAUCACAUAUUCCUUCACUCAUGCCACCAUUAAGCAUAAUAUAACCAUCAUUAGGUUUAGGGGAGAGGUUGUAGCAUCACUUACCAAGAAACAAGGGAAAGAGAGAUUGUGGACACCUUUGCUCUUCAAAACAACUUCACUACAACCCUUACUAGCACUAGAAGAUAGGAUUUUAUGGAGUGGAAUCUUGUUUAUUCGGUUGAUUUAGAUGAUUUGCUAGUAGAAAGCUUGAAGAUUGAAGAGUUCUUCUUCUUGCAAAAGAGUGAGAGAGAGCCGGCCAAGGAGAAAGGAAAAUGAGGAAAUUUUGUGAAUUUUUGAUAUUUAAUCCUUUGGUCAAAAAAGUCAAGAAAGUGAAUAGUAAUUCUUAAAGUCCAACCAAUGAGAUUGUGACACUUGUCACACUCAUUAAAUGCAUUCCUAUCUUUCUUUUCUCUCUCACAUCAAUCACUUCACACACACUACUUAUCUCUUAACACCCGAUAAAUUUUUCACAGUAUCCGAAACUUAACCUUAUUGGCCGAAUUUUUCUGAACUUUUCGCACUAGUGGGUCCCACGUCCAAUAUAGAUUCUUAAUUUUCUAAAAAUUCACCAAUGCUAGAAAAAUCAUCUUAAAACUAUAACUGCUCAUAAAAUCCACUAAGAAAAUAUUUCUAAGCCAGAAAAUGCAGAAAACAUGCAAUUAAGGGGAAAUAAACCCUAGGAAAAUAAUUAGGGUUUUACGGGUUCUCACUGGUUGUCAUAUUUACUCCUAAGCCGAUUGAGUUUAAUCUCAAGGAGACCAAGUUCUGAUACUAAUUGUAAGGAUCGAAUGUGAGAAUCCGUAAAUUCCUCUUAAUAAUUUUCCUAGGGUUUAUCCCCUUUAAUGGCAUGUUUUCUGCAUUUUUUGGCUUAGGAAAAAAUUUUCCUGGUGAAUUUUAUGAGUAAUUAUAGUUUUUAAAUGAUUUUUCUUGCAUUGGAGAGUUUUUGAAAAAUUAAGAGCGUAUAUCGGACGUGGGACCCACUAGUACGAAAAGUUCGGAAAAAUUCGGUCAAUUAGGUUAAGUUUUGGAUACUGGUUGAAAUUUAUCGGGUGUUAAGAGAUAAGUAGAGGUUGAGAUGUGAUUGAUGUGAGAGAGACUUAAAGGAUAGAAAUGCUUUAAAUGUAGUGACAAGUGUCACUUGGUGAGUGGUGGCACUUGUAGGACAACUAUUCAUUUUCUUGACUUUUUUGACCAAUUGCUUAAAUAUCUCAAAAAUCACACAAAAUUCACUCUUGUAUUCAUCUUCUUGGAUGGCUCUCUCUCUAGGAAAAGAAAGAAAACUUCUCCAAAUUUCAAGCUUCCAACUAGCACAAUCUUCCAUUCCAACCAAUUAAACUUAGAAUUGCUCCAUAAAAAUCCUUCUUUUGGUGGUGGUGAGUUGAUUAUUGAAGUGUUUGGAGAAGCUAAGGUGUCCAACAACUCUUCCUCUCUUGUUUACUAGGUGAGUGGUGAAUGAACUUUCUCCUACACUUAAUGAAGCUUAAGUUGUGCUUAGUGGUAGCUAAAGUGCUGAAAUUUCUGGUUUAUUUCUUGCUUUUGGAUGACUUGGUGAAGUUUUCAAUUUAUUGGUGAUUUUUCUGGUUUAAUGUGAUCAUGAUGUUGUGGCCUUAUAUGAUGAUUGGCAAUGGCCUAUAAUGACUCUAGUAGGUGUGAAUGAUAGAUAAUUGCAAUCAAUUUCUGUUUUGGAAGAAAUCUGGAAAAUUAGGGUUCUUUGGUUCUUCAUUCUGUCCGAAAUUUUAGGUCCUAGAUAGAGGCCGAAUUGGCCUUAGCUCAAAACAUGAAAGUUGUAGGGAAUAACAUUUUAUAGGUGGUUACAAAAUUUCAGGUCAAUCAGAGUAGUGUAGAAUGAGAUAAGUCGAAAUUACUAUUGCUGUUCUGGUUUUACCCGAAAUCGAGAUUUGCGACUGUAAUUGGGUGUUUUGGUCUGAAUUGCUUCCGAAUUGGUUGUUGAGGCCUUCUGAUGAAAUUUAGCCCUGUUUCUUAGCUUUCAGCUGGUUUUGGAAUUUCUGGAUUUGGACUUGUAGAGCCUGAGUUAUGAUGUUUCCGCUAGAAUGCAUUUUGGUGAAUCUGUUUUACGUUUUUGAUGUGGUAUCUUGCAUUUUUGACCUGUUUGCACUCAAAACUGGGUUGAGUGACCUUCUGUGAUGUUGUAGCCCUGUAUUUAAGCUUCGAAAUGGUGUGUCUUACACCUUCAUCCGAUAAUUCUAGGGCAGUUGGUGCCAUUACCGCAAAAAGAGGUCAAAAACUGUUUUUUCAAGGCCAAAGCUAAUUGCAUUUCCGAAUUUUCUGGUUUUCUCUAAUGUUUGUAUAUGUUUAUGGAACCCUAUUGGGGUCAUAUUUGGCAUUGAUUUAUGAUUCGUUAUCGAGUCUCAUUGUACUUGUUUACAUGUUUUAAGGCUUACUCUUAUUCCGGUCAUUUCCUAACUAACUUUUGUACUUGUACUACUUUGAGCCUAGUGAACGGCUUUUGGGAAAUGAGAUGAAUUUUGUGUGAGAUGUUGGGACUGAUUUGAGGAAAUAAUGAAGCCAUGAUGGCUGGAAAAUAGGUAAAAACAAGGGAUAUGUUGCCGAAAUUUUACUUGAAGGCUAGUUGGAUUUACUUGUGAUUUGAGCAAAGAGCUUUUGGGUUGUUUGCGCCUAGGUCUCCAUGUUACCUUUUCGUUUCCAAGAAAAUCAUGUUUUCCACCCUUGCAUUAGUAUUUAUUUGGCAAGGCGUACGACGUGUAGUCGAGCCUCACUUGUGCAUUCCGUUUACUCGAUUUUGGAUAUGAAACCUUCAAUUAGUUUACUUUGAUUAUUUUAGGGUUUCUUGGCGAUUAAGGCCAAUCUGAAGUGAAAACUUUUGAAGUUGAACCGGUGAGUGUACCACUCCCCUCCAUUGCUGUUUAACUUGAUUUCUGCUCUGCAAUCUGUUUAUUUGUUUGAGACGAGGGUGUACUUUAUCACACUCGUUCUCUUGUAUGUUCAUAUGCCAAUUUACUAUGCAAAAUUUGAAUCUGUUAUCUGUGUCUGCAUCUGUUCGGAUUUCUAUGACCUAUGAGUUCAGUCCUGUGGCUAAGUUAUUCGAGUCGGGCCGGCAAAGGCCUGGACGAUUAGAUAACGAACCACGGUAGUCUGUUCGGGGAUUUUGGGUAUUGAGACCCUUGAUUCCGGGUAUACUCGAGUAUUACCAUUUUGUUCGUUUGAGGUGAGCGGGCCCGGUAAAGGGGUGUUUGGUGGACGGAAUUCGGUGCGAAGUGGGUCUACGGGCGCGUUGGUUCUAUAUACGUUGACGGAGAGUCAACCGGUUUGGAUCAAGUACUGCGCUGGAAAUUUGGCUCCUGAGAGCCACCUGUAUCCUUCCUAUGUGAAUCAUUAGUUGCUUUACUUUACAUCUGGCAUGUGUAUCUGAUUUGUUAAAUAUGAAAUGCCAUGAUUUUCUGCUAUAUGUUUGGUACCUCAUUGAGCGCAAGCUCACCCCUUUCUGUUCCUUUUGUUUUCCUUACAGGAAAAUAAACUCUUUUGGUCUGGAUUUGACAAAUGGCUGCCAAAUUGAGCUAGUUGAACAUAUCUUUUGUAUAGCUCAUGUGUUAAAAUCCUAAGUGUACUUUUGGGGCGUUUUCUCUUUUGAUUUGGCAAACCGUGUAUAUGUAUUAACUUUUGAAUACUUUUGUAUGCCACUUUGGCUUGUAAAUGCUAAGUUUCAAGAUGGGAAUGUUUGCUUGGUAUUUGGUUGGGUUCUGACGGGUCAGUUACUGUUCAUAGCCGACUUCGAUUUUAUUUAUUAUUAUUUUUUUUACCCGCGUUGGUAAGUUUCGGGAUGUAUUAGCUCGUUCUAUACCGAACCGUUAGUCCUGGCGAGAGAUGGGCAGGCGGUCCGCCGAACCCUUUGGUUCGCCUUAGGGUAUUGUGGGGCUGUCUCAUCGAAGACAACCAAGUGGAAGAAAUAAACAAUGUAAAGAUCACAAGCGUAACAAUAAGUAAAUAAAAAGGAAAGAAUUGCAAACCAAUUAACUACCCAACUCCUCUUGAGCUUGUAGAUUAAUUCAAACAAGUUUCUUCAAGUUGAUGAAUUACAAUCACUCUUGUGUACAAAGGAAGGUUCACCUCCUCCUUGCCCCGAACUCCACUCAGUCAAGUUAGGACGUUUUAUUAUCCCUCAAGACAACCCUCGCAGAGCUACACUCAUGAAGUAUUUACUCACAAAUGAAAAGAUUACAAUGAACCUCACACCACUAAAACUACAAAUCUUUCUUGGAGAGUAUUUUCUCACUAAAAUCACUCUAGAUCUUUUGUAUCUUCAGUGUGCAAAAGUUAUUUGAAAAUUCUGACCAUGCUCUAUUUAUAGGAAACCAAGAAAGUGCUUCAUUAAUGCUUCUAAUGGAUAGAAAGCAGUUGAACAGUCAACUAACCGUUGGAGUAUCGGACGUCCGGUACUGCCCAAGUAUGCGACCGACAGCAGGCAAUGAGUUUACAAAAUAUUCUUCAAUUCUAUCAGACGUCUGGUAUUAUCUUUGUGAGCGUCCGACAGGUUUCGUCGAGUUUGAAUGAUCCUAUUAGACGUCCGAUACUUGCGUCCGAUCGAGGUCAGUGAGUCAGUGGGAAUGUCUUAUUUCCUUCAGACGUCCGGUGGUGGAGUUCUUCAUGCGUCCGAAGUUACGCAAUAAUUAUCGGACGUCCGAUCCAAGCGUCCAACAACUUUCAACAGCCUUUGUCUCUUUCAAUUGCACUUGAUCUUUGAAUCUGAUUUGCUACACAACUGAAAAUAUUUCUUGAAGAGAUAUUAGUAUUAUCCAUUGUUUGUAAACAUCAAAAGUUAAGGACCAAGGUCAACAGGGGAGUGGAGGUCUGGCCCCCCUGUAGACCACCUCUCUCCUGUCCUCUUCCACUUUGGCCUCCCCUCGGCGUACCCGUAAACCUUCCACCCCCAGCUCCACGACCGACUUUAGGGGAUGGUAUGCUUUGAUCACUCUGUGCCGGCCUUUGACUUCCACCAGAUGCUCCUUUUCGUUUUACGUGAAAAUUUCUCACUUGUGCCCUGGCAAUCUCGAUUCUCUGGGCCUUCUCCAAAACCUCAGUGAAAGUAUUGAUCUGGGCCACCACUAAGGCCUCCUGUAUUUCUACAUUGAGCCUUUGCACAAACCUCCUUAUCCUCCUUUGCUCCGUAGUUAUCAAUUCAGGAGCAAAUUUUGAUAACUUCGUAAACUGGCUCUCAUACUCAGCUGCACUCAAAGUUCCCUGCCGAAACUUAAUAAAAUCAUCAUCUCUCUUCUCCUGGACGAUAGGUGGGAGGUAUUUUUCGUUAAACUCCCGCACAAAAUUCAACCAUGUCUAUGCGGUUCCCUCUCUCUCCCACUUAGCUUUAACUACAUUCCACCAAGUUUUGGCCGGACUUUCGAACUGAAAAGCAGCAAAUUGCACUUGCCUAUUGUGAGAACUUGUAAAUUCCUUAUAUAUUUCUUGAAAAUUCCUUUUUAUUUGAAAAUUAUUUGGCAAUUAUUAUUUUAUACUAUCCCUACUCAAUCACCUUAGAAAAGUGCCAAUGAUCAUAGGAAAUUAGGGUUUUCCUUUCCGAUUUCAAUUCGAAGUGAAAUAGGAUUUUUUGUGUAUCCGUAGUGUAAUUGUCCGGUACGGAGUAAGGAUCAAAUUUGGUGCUUAAGAGUGACUUUUAGGUGAGAAAUGAUAUGUGAUUAUAAGCAAUGAUAAAAAGUUAGUGCAUAGGAAGUAAAAACCCUAGUACGUGUGAUUUCAGGAAAAACGGUACGAACCGACGUGUACCGUGCACUACCGAUUGAACACACCACUUGGUCACCAAUUUCUUACCAUAUAAGCUCAUUAAUAUUUGAGCAAAAUAUCCCCUCAUUCUCAGCUAGCUUUUGCCGAAAAUGUUAACCAAAUUUGCAAGGAAAAAAAACAAAAAAAUGAGUGGAAAUUGGUGAUGCCACUUGUUGGCCAUCUAGGGCCUUGACCAAGACCAAAUUGUCUUGCCUUCUUAUCACCAUUUAGCUUCCUUUCUUCCUUAUUUUCUGCUUGCUUUGGCCGAGAGAGAGGUGUCGCGCCCCAUUUUUUGAUAAAUAAAUAAAAUGGUUUGAGAAAGAUGUUUUUAAUUCAAUUGUGAUUGGAAAAUGAUUUUUGUGAGUUGAAAAGACAUGGGUCUCAAUGGGACUUGGAAAGCGACGAUUUGACCCAAAAAAUAGUUUUAAAAAGGGUUUGAAAAGAAAAGUUUGGAGUCGCCACUUGGUAAUGAUUUAAGGUGUACCAAGUCACCUAAAAAAUGAGAUUUAAAGCCAAGUAGUAAUAAACCCUUUUUAAAAUGACUCCUAGUCCACGUAAGCCAAAGAAAAAGGUUCGGGAGUCACGUUUGACAAAGGGGAAGGCAAGGAUAGAAUCCAAGGCACCCCUUUGACCUAGCCAAGGCUAGUUGCGUGACUUAACCCUAACUUUCCUAACUUUCUACCCAGGGUAUGUAUUGCAUGUUGGAUUAUGCCUAUAUGAAUGCAAAAACGGAAAAAUGCAAUCCUAAAUUCUACGAUGUCUCUCGUGAGGUUUUUGGUCCCAGACCACAUAAAUUGUGGCGGCCAAUAAAGGGAAACCUCAUAGAGGUCGAUUGAUGCAAAUGGUGACUCAAGUGCAAGGGUGCAAGUGUAUGAAAAGAUUCAUGUAUGAAAUGGCAUAAAAUUCAAGUGUUUUUUGUUUGCAAGUGUGUGAAAAUAGAAUAAUAGAUAUAUAAGGUAAAGUGGAAUUCCAUUUGUGAGGUGGAAAUGAGCACGUGAUAGGAAAAAUGUAGUGAGAAAGUAUGGUUUUGAGAAAUGUGAAAAAUUGUGGUUAAAAGUAUGUAGGUGAUAAAAAUGAAAGUAUGACCCUAGAGGAAUGCAACAAGUCGGGUACGGGGAUUGACUCCUAACUUUUCGACUUCGAUUUUCCCUUUGAUUAGAAGGCGAAACUAGCGUGCUAAGGCUAUCGAGUAGCCACACUCGCUCGUUUCCCUUAUCGGAAGGGAUUUUCACACAAAUGAACCCUAACUAGCAUGAGAUGCAAGUCCUAAAAUGAAGGGGAAGGGGUUUGAGGAACAUACCAAAUGACAAACUAAGGAAAAAUGCGUGAUAUGUGGUGAUCAUGCACUUAAUGAGAAAAGGAAAAAAGAACCUAUUGGGUCUAGCAUUGGACUAGCCCAUUCUAUGAAUUCCGACUAGCGUUGGACUAGUGGAAACGAUAAAAGAAGCCACAACUAGCGUUGGACUAGUGUGGUGAUGUACAUUCAUCCAUUCCAUUCAUCUAUACUACAAAAAGCGAGUAGACAUGCGAAUCACUUAUAAACACGUAGCACAUAACACUUAGCAUGCUUGACUAGAUGCAAAAUCCUAAUAAAGCAUUUAACAUAUAACACAUAGGCAUGCAACCAUUACAUUUGCUAACUAAAACAAAGGGGAAAGGGAAAAUGGACCAAAUUACUUGCUACGCCCUAUCUAUUACAAGCCAAGAGGUGUACACAUACCCCAUUAAUAAAAAUCAAAAGUAAAUGAAAUAAAUGAAAGGAAAUAAGGAGCGGCUAGGAAAGCAAGUAGACAUGCAAAUUUCAAAUAGCACAUUAGUCCACAUAGGAGAGAAACAAAAGGGGUAAAAGAGAUUAUACCUCCCCGUUGGUGAUACUAAGGAAGUAAACAAAUUCAACUUGGCUAGAGUCACCCAAGAAAAGACUAGCUUAGGCUAAAAUCACCAAAAACAAAAGAUUAAUGCACCAAUUUAGUGAUAAGAUAUAAACUAAACAAUUUGGAUCCACCAAAACAUCAAACUUUCCCUCAAUUGCAACUCAAUGAAGUCAAAACUACUUAAAGACCAAGGCAAAGGCAUGAUCAUCCAAUCCCCAAGCAUAACAUCUACUAAAGACCCAAAAGCUAGCACUACUCAAUCAUUUGAACCUAAUUGAAGCAUUUAAAAACUCAAAGGUCCCCAAGUAAAAAUAAAGUUCAAGCAAACAUCAUAUCUCAAGAAUCCAAGAGUGAGUGAAGGUCCAUGAAUGGUUUAAACUUGCAUUUCUAGGACCCAAUAAUGACCACUAAUCAAUCACAAUCAACGUCAAAAUGAAUCAUCAAAGAGCUUCAAAGGUCCCCAAAAUAAUAAAGAUCAAUUAAUGAUUCAAAUGCAAACAUCUUAGGAUCUAAUUGGAAGGGAGAAGGAACAUGAGGAGUCAAGGCAUCUCAAAUUGACCAUUAAUUACAUGAAUUUGAUCCAUUGAAAACAUUUAAGCAAUUACACAACUAGUGAUUCACAAAAUUAGGAUUAAAUUGAAAGGGAAAAGAAAGAUUGAGGGAUCACUUUGAGGAUUUUUCAGUAUAUUUGGGCCAUAGUGAGUCAAUGGGGAACUUGGAGGGUUAAAAGACAAAUUUUCAGAAAAAUUUCCAUGCAAGCCAUGCACGGUUAUGAAGCUUAAACUUCUGCAAAAACCAUUUCUAAAGUCUUUUGCACUAUUCCAGCCAUAGCUUGCUUUUCAAUUCAUUGUCUUAAGUGAAACAACAUGUAAUCUUCAUCCGAACAUAGCCCAACAUCCCAAUCCAACAUCAAACAACAAAUUCGAGUAAGAAAAACAGAGUUCAACAUCCAAAGAUAGCAAAAGAAAUUCUGCAUUUUCAGCAUACAACUUCGGUAAUUCGAUGCAACUUUCAGCAAACAAAGGUUCGCACCAACUGAAGUUAACUUCACACAACUCAACAUUUACUAACAAAUGCAAUCUUGGAGGCAUGUCACGCAAGCUACAAAAAUUAACAAGAUUCUGCAGCCAGACUUCGGCAAUUGAUGAAACUCUUGGCAAGACAGUACAGCAAAAUAAACUCAAGGUCUGCUAAACUAUGACCUGGGAUUUCCAGCAAAACACACCCAUUUCAUCAUACACACAAGUUCAUCAAACCAGAAAUUAUUGUCCCAAAUCAUGUUCAAAACAUGAAGUUUUGCUUGCAGGAUUAAGAUGGCAAAUCUAAGUUGAUGACCGCCCAAGAUAAAGAAAAACAACAAGACAGCAUGCCGCAAGAAUUUCUGCAAAGCUGGGAAGCUUUCGACAACCCAUAAUGAAUCAGGAUUUUUAACCAAGCAUCAAAGGCUUUAGAUUAAACAACAGCUAGCCAAACCGCAAGCCCAAACAAAGAAACAAAAAACUCAAGAAAGCUAUCACCCAAAUCUGGAAAAACAGAAGCUUUGCUGCAGUUUUCAGCCGCGACUUGUGUCCAGAAUUUCUAGUUUAUCAUGCAAACAGAUUCAACAAGGAACCAGAAUUCUACCUAUCCAUCAUCAACUAACACGCAACUUUGUAGCAAGAUCGAAAACAGAAAAAUGAAGCUAACCAACAAAACAUGAAAGUAAACAGCAAAAACAACGAUAGGAAGAAAGAAACAAAGUGCCGCAAGUUUUUCUGCAAUUACUUCAAUCCCAAACCCAAUCUGCUCAUGCGAAGAUGGAAAAGAAAAUCCAGACAAGCUUCACAACAGCCCAUCCACAAUCAUAUUGCUUCAAAUCCAGAGGACCUAAUCAUAUGGCCAAUCACAGAAAUGCAGACAAAGAAAGCAGAACUCACGGCAAAACACAACCAGCAUCGCAGCAAAGCUUCAACAUUUCAGACAUGAUUUUACAAUCUAACGGCAGAAGACAAGCGAAAGGCAUUACCUUUAUCCUUUUCCAGAGGAAAAAAGAACAGAAUCUUGGAGGAUGAACAAAGUGUCCUUGCACAGCCCAAGAAGCUGAAUCUUCCCAGUUGCCAACGUUCUUCCUCCUCUGGUUCCUUCACCCACACAGCCGAGACUCCUUUGCAGUUUCCUCCAGCCCAAGUCUUUCUCUAAUCUCAGCUUUUCACUCAGCCCUCCCCCUUUUACUCUCAAUCCUUCUAGCCCCCCACUCUCAAUCCCCACAGGUUUGUUCUUUUUAAAUGCCAGCCGACAACUUUACUCUCUUCUCUUCCCAGAAUUUUCAGCCGUUCCUUUCUCCCUUUCCAACCUCCUUCUGCGGCUGCUACUUCUUGUUGCCUUUUAUACCAUCUCCCAAUCUCCUAAACCUGCUCUCAAUGGUGAGGAUGAAGGCUUGUCCUUCCCUUUCCAUCCAGCCAUCCGAUGGCUAUUGAAGUUGUACCUUGCACGCUGCAAAAAAUUGCAGCGUGCAUGCUGCGGUUUUUUUAUUUUUAUUUUUUUAACACAACUUGAUAAUUACAGAAAUGAUAAAAUAAAAUAUAAAUAAUAAUAAUAACAAAAUACACAAAGCAGGUAAUAAUAAUAAUAACAAAACAAAAAAUAAUUUUAAACAAAAACUAAACAACAAUGGCCAUUUUUUAAUUUUUCAAAAUUUCAUUUUUCAUCAUUUUCUUUUUCUCAAAAUAACUUAAUAAAAAUAACUAAAGUGCCCAAAGAUUGAAUUACUAUAAAAGCUCCAAAAAAGUGGCAGCUCAAACGGGACCAACAAUCUACUAUGUUCGCCUGUUCUCCCGCCGGACCCACCAGCGCCGGCGGCCAUGGGUCAUCUAUAAAAGCAUAGAUCAAGACUACACUAAUCCCUCAUCAGUCCAGUCCAUCCAUAAUUCUCCUAUCUUCACAAGUCCUCCCGAUGACCCACCAGCCGGCGGCGGCCCUGGGUUAUCUAUAAAAGCAUAGACCAAGACUACAGAAAUCGCUCAGUCCAGUCCAUCCAUACUUCCUCUUCAGGCCUCAGCUACUAAACAAUCAACUCUGCUCCACUCAACUCUUUCCUCUGUGUCUUGUGCUCUUGUCCGAAAAUGGCGGCGUCAGAAGAAGUGAAAGUGCCAAGAAUCAAGCUGGGCUCGCAAGGUCUUGAAGUUUCAGCUCAAGGGCUGGGCUGCAUGGGCAUGUCAGAAGCCUACGGGCCGCCGAAGCCCGAGCCUGAUAUGAUCAAACUCAUCCACCAUGCUAUUUGCAGAGGUAUCACCCAUCUUGACACCGCCGAUAUGUAUGGACCUCACACCAACGAAAUACUCAUUGGCAAGGUACCGUAUUUACAAAUUUUCUGCUGUUGUGUGCUGUGCAUAAAAUCUUGUACUUUUAAUUUCUAAAAGAGCAUUUGUUAUUAUUUGGUAUUUUACUUGACCCCCUGCACUUCAAAACUUGUCUCCCUUUGUGCCCCCUUAAUUUUGUUUGUGAGCACUUGAACUCCAUUUGUUUAAAUUGUAAGUAUUAUUAGUCAAAUAGGACAUUGUUCUUCUUUUCUUUUGCUUCAUUUUUUCAUGUUACUGCCUUUUCAGUUUGUCCUCCUUUAUAGACAUGGGAUGAAUUACUUUGAUUUUGAUUUUGGCGCAAUUUUGUAUAAAAUGAUUUUUGCUAUGAAGUUAUUGAUUUAUUAUGAGCUAUGCGUUGUAUAUUUACACAAAUUCUGCUAGCUAAACAUUUACUUGAGCAAGCCUUCCAUACAUGAGCAAUAUAAUACUCUAUGGGUGCAUUUCGUAAAAUUGAAGUUUGAAAAUUAAAAUCUAAUUUAAAGUCUAAAUUCAUAAAGUUAUUAAAUUGUUAAGUACUAAAUUUGAUAUGUUUGAGUGCAUGUCACAUCAAACGAUCAGUGAAUAAUUGAUCAUUUAUUUUUUAGAGCAAGUUUUGUUUAAGAAAUUCAAUGCUAUUUAAUUAAUUCAGAUAUUCAUUUUUUGGUUAUCAAACAUGUUUGAAUAUGAUAAGAUUUGAACCUAUUAAUUUUAAGUGUUGAAUUGGAUUAUCAAAUAGGACCUAUAAUUAUUAGGUAACCAAGCAGACAACAUGUUUAGUGUAUAAUAGUAAUUAACGUUCAAUUUGUCUCGUUAUUCUUUGGUAAAGAACUCUUUGAAUAUUAAUAAUAAUUUUCUCAUCCACGGGAAUCAAAAUAAUUGAAGUUUUAUCUCUACCAUUGAGAUAUGUUACCUUCUAAAAGAAAGGAAAGGGAAGGAAACAUGGGGGAAAAAUAGGGAAAGGGCAAAGUGAUGAUAAAUAAAAUUGGAAGUAGCAAAAUGAGACAAGUGAAUUAUUGCAAGGGGUUAAGUGUAAAUUAUGUUUAUUUUAUUAGACUAUUUAACCAGAAAGACUGGACUCUUUUAAGGCACCAAUCAAAGGUUCCAAUUGCUGGAAAUAACAUGAAAACCUAGACUUUGGUUUGGCGUUUUUGGAGGUGGUUCAUGAAAAUUUUAUUGUAGUUUUUUUUUUCUUCUUGAAAAAUAUAUUUGUAAGAGAAAAAAAGUGGUUGAAAAAAAAUUGAGAGUUUUUUUUAAUAAAUUGUUUUCUAAAUAGUUCAGUCACCCAAAAUUUUCAGUAUUCGACAAUGGCAUCCAUGUGGUGUCAAUUGUCAAACGUGCAACAAAGUUGAGAAGAGAAGGUCGCAGGUCUAGCGCAUACUUUGAAUAGCUACCAUCUCUUUAUUUUCUUUUUUUUUUUCCGUCAAAAUUCUACAUCAUAAUGGAGUUGGUAAAAUAGUACUAUUUUCGUCUUUGAUGUUAAAAUUUUCAUCAUUUUAUGGAAAGUUUACUAUUUCUCUGAUAAGAGAUAGUAAAAUUUACUUUUUAUGAGCAGUAAAGUUUUAAAGAUUAUGAAAAGAGAAAUGUAUGAAGGAAUAGAAGGGAAAGAAAGGUAAGAAAAUGGAUGGAUUGUAUUUGGAUUGAUUUUGAGAGGGGAAAGGAGAGGAAACGGAAAGAAAAGGAAAUGGAUGUAUUGUGUUUUGCUCAGACUCAUUUCCAUACAAAAGUAGACGGAAACAGAGGGAAAGAAAAUCUUGUUGAUGAUUUUCUAGUAAAAUGCCUCAAGCACCCAAAUAAAUUGUGGGAUGCAACAGCAGGCUAGGAAUGUUUGACGAAGCAACUUAUGUAAAUAUUUUAUCGUUAAGUAAAGUUCCUCUUUUGCUGUUAAAAAAAAAAAAAAAAAGAGGAAAACUAUUCCUUUCAUGUCUGUCAUUCUACCAAACAGUAUAUUUAGGUUUUCUUUCUUUUCCAACCAUAUCUGAUCCAAAUAAGACAAAUGAGAACUAUUUUCCUCUGCUCUCCUUUCCUUUCUUUUUCACUAGGAUGUUUUAUUUAUAUAUUUAUCCUUUCCUUUGAUCCAAAUGGUUCCUAAAAGGGCCCUAAAUAAUUAUUCUACAUUGAUCAGUUCCCUAUUUUUGUACUAAUUUGCAUGUGCACGAUUCUGUGUAUGUUCAUGUUGUGCAUCAAAUCUUGUGAAUGACAAAGCUAGAGUGUAAAUUUAAGCUGAAGAAAUAUAAACCAAAAAAAAAAAGAAAAUGGAUUGGCUCCGUUAAAGAAAAUGGAUUACAUACUUUUCAUAUCCUUUGCCAUACAAAGAAGUGGCAUAGCCUUAACAAUGAAGUGUUGGUAAAACUCCAGAAGGACUGUGCCAUCCAUGAAAUCACAAAUCCACUUGUUAUACCAUGCAAUAAUGUGUAUGUCCUUGAUGAUUAAUAUAAUGAAACCAUGGUUCUAGGCCUUGAAGGAAGGAAUAAGAGCGAAAGUGGAGCUAGCAACCAAAUUUGCAAUCAGUUUUCAGGAUGGGAAGUGAGGAGGUGAUUUUCGGUUGGUAACUAGACCGACCUGGAUCAGUCCUCUCUGAGAUGAAGUGAGGUGAACUCCUGUGUCCGAAGUGAACCUCGGUGUCCGAAGUGAGUGCGGGGCUUCUCCCCUGGGAUCACUCCGACGAUCAAGUUAGUAUGAGAACGAGAAUAAUGAGAAUGAGUUAAUGAACAGUGUCCGCUUACUUGUUGGGAGUGUGUCUGGGGUAUUUAUAGAAGAAGAGGUGGUCAAGACGGAAGGCUCAUGCUAGCGGGACCCACUCUCUGGCAUUACGGCUCUGUCUCCUGUCAGGAGGUCUGACUCUGACACUGUAGCCGCCUGGGAGUGAUGACGGAGGAUAUGGUGCAGGUGCCAUUAAGUGCCUCCAGUGCUUUUCAGAUAAAGUGCUGGUCCUGGAUGAUGUCAGGUGGGUUGACAUCAUCAGCGUGCAGCUGAGGCGGGGGUGCCGAGGUCGGCUACACAGUAUGCUAUGGAAACGGCCGAGCCCGAGCUCAGGGAUGAUGUCCGGGACACGGAUGAACUCCGAUGAGGGACGAGGUGAGUCCACCUCGGCCACUCGGGAUGGCCGAGGUGAGCAUCCUCAGGAAGUUUGAUGUACGUGGUGAUCCAGCCUAUGUGAGGGCUUGUUGUGAAGCAAGUUUGAAGCGGCUUGAUGUGGACUGCAUUGAUCUCUAUUAUCAACAUCGCAUCGAUACAAGUGUGCCCAUUGAAGUCACGGUUUGCUCCAUCUUGCCUUUCUUUUAUUUUAGCUCCACCUCAUUCUUGAUGAAACAAAAGUUUGAUCAACUCCAAAUUUAGAAUAAUUCAGUUUCAUGUCCGUUUCAAUUCUUCAAAAAUUGCACAGAAAAGAGUCAACCUUAUGGUCUCGGCUAAUCAGUAGUAUGGUAUAGCUGAUUUUGCACAAGGCAUCCUGAAAAGUGAAAACAAUGAAAAUGUCUGUAUUAGCUUGACAGUCCUGCUGAGGGAUAUACAGAUGGAUAUCAUGCUAUACAUUGUACAGCUUUCUCUUUAGAACCAAGAACCUGAGCAUUCUCUUUCAUUUGAGAUAGGCUAUUUACUUACAUUGUCAUUCGUUUUCAGUCGGUGCCAAAGCACUGCAGAUAGACAUUUAUUAUUGAUAUCUAAAAAACAUGGUACUCAUUUUGUUCAGAGCACAGCUUUUGUCUAAUUGUGAAAGCCAGCUGCAACUGCCCCAUUGACCUCUCCAAGCAAUUCAAAGAUUUCAGCAGCUUGCUUACAUUAAGCUUUUAUGAAACGAUUUCUCUGUCUUCUUUUUCUCAUUAAUCAGCAAAGAAAUUGUCUUGUUUUCCCUGAGUAUUAGGUAGAAACUUUCUUGCAGUUUAAUCACUCAAAUACAGGCAAGUAUAACGGAAAUCAAGCAAAAUUGGCAACUGAUAAUUGAUAUGUACAGCCAUCAUUAUAUAUAGAAGUCAACAAUGCCAUGUAUAUCAUAUUGAGGAGCAUUAUGUUUGGCAUGGUCCAGUAGAACUAAUCCUCCGGUGCUGUACAUAGAGAAUAUCACUGCUUAUUGCCAUUUUCAUCAAUUAGUGAUUCAGUUUGAUGUAUACUUUGUCCACAACUUCGUUGAACUAGUGGCAACUUUUACUUUUUUGCACGUAAUAUUUCGAUUAUCUGCCUAAGUGUUGAAUGUAAUAAAUUCAGCUUAGCAUCUUCUUGUCCAUUGAAAUUCUCUAGAUAGGAGAGCUCAAGAAACUGGUUGAAGAGGGUAAAAUAAGUAUAUAGGUCUGUCUGAGGCCUCAGCUUCAACAAUUCGAAGAGCACAUGCUGUUCACCCAAUAACAGCUGUACAGUUGGAGUGGUCAUUGUGGACCAGAGAUGUCGAGGAAGAGAUUAUUCCCACUUGCAGGUAGUGCAUAUAUUCUGCUGAAUUUUCUAAAUGGUCUAGAAGAAAUAUGAAGUUCUCAAUUCAGUUUUUGGUAUAAUCUUUCAGAGAGCUUGGCAUAGGGAUUGUUGCAUACAGUCCACUUGGACGAGGUUUCUUCUCAUCAGGUCCAAAGCUGAUGGAGAAUUUGGCUGAAGGUGACUUUCGAAAGGUUUGUACAUAUGUUUUUGAGUAUAGAUUGUUUAUAGUCGAAUAAGUUUUCUCACUCAUCUACUUUUACCAGAUUCAGUGGCAAUCUUGCUUGAUAUCCCUAUUGUUGUCUAUCUGUUAUAUGUUGCUGCACUUUUUGAUAUCCAAUAAUUUGAUUAAGGCUUGUAAUAUGAUCACAUUUAAUAAAAUUUCUAUUAAACAUAGCAAUUCAACAGGAUUUUUUUCGCCUCUCGAACAAGUCUUGGAGUCUUUAGUUGAUUCAAUGAAUGCAUAUUUGGUGUCCUCUGUAUUUAGUUCAAAUUAAGAGAUAUAGCACAAGCUUUGUCAAAUUUAAGAUCUUAUAUUAAUUGAAGGUUGUUAUUGCUUGCUGGAAAUUUAAUAUGUGGACAACAAUCACAAGCAAUGGGUAGUAUCAAAUUUUAAAGUGCAAAGAUGUCAAAACAUGAAAAAACUACGUCAUUUUUUAAGUGAACGUCUCUUUACAGUUUGAGGGGAAAUGGACCUUAGACUUCAGUUUCAUCAUUUAGUCUCAGGCACAGAACUUAUGUUGUCCUGUGAAACUAUCAUUUUUCCUUUACCAUCAGUCCUAGAACUGAGUUUCAUUGGUCAGAAAUAUACUUCAUAGUAGUACCUCCUCCAUCGUUCUACAAACAAACAAAAAUUAGUUGAUUUGUAUUUAAGUUUCCUCUUUGAUGGGAAAUGUGUCUCAGAACUUAACUCCAACAGUUGAUGUUUCCUACUUGGAGUGUUCAGUCCACCUUGAUGCAUUGUUCUUUCCCCUGAACUUGUGCCCUUCAAACAGUAUUUCUGAUCAUCUUGAAGUAAUUAGUACGUCUGUUCAUUGCUCCCUCCCGAUAUCUUGCAUUAUAGUUUCCUCCUCUUUAAUGGGAAAUGUAUCUCCGGAUCUACCUUCUACAAUUGAUGUUUCUUAGAUAUACUCAGUCCACCUUACUUGAUUGUUCUUCCCUGAACUUUGUACACCUCAGACAAUACUAUCGAUCAUCUUGAAGUUAUUCAUAUUGUCUUCAUUUGUAGACGACACAUGCUUCACUCCCUUUUGCAUUUCUGGCGUUACAGUUGCUUGAAAUUUGAAAUUCAUACAAUGCAGGGUUUGCCAAGGUUCAAGCAGAGAAUUUGGAGCACAACAAGAAGUUGUAUGAGCGGGCCACUGCCAUUGCUUCAAGGAAGGGUUGUACUCCAUCACAGCUAGCAUUGGCCUGGGUCCAUCACCAAGGCAAUGAUGUUUGCCCAUACCUGGCACUACCAAGAUUGAGAACCUCAAUCAGAAUAUAGGAGCUUUGUCUGUAAAACUGUCGCAGAAGAUAUGGCGGAACUUGAAUCUAUUGCUUCUGCAGGAGUCAAGGGUGAGAGAUACGGACCUGAAAUCAGCAAUGGCAAAAUUCUGAAACUCCACCCAUUGUCAACCUGGAAGAGGACAUGAAGACAUAGCUUUGUUGUGGCAAUAAUUCCUUCUAGCUAUUUGCCUGAUGGUGGAUUUCACUAUAUUAAGAGUUGAGUGAUAUGUAUUUGUCCCUAUAAAUUUCGUCAUACUAUUGUCUCCAGGGUUAAGGCAAGUAAAGUUAUAAGAAGAAUGGAGUUUUCUUCAGAAAGGUUGUAAUGAAUAAAGAUCUGGUCAUGUAAAAGCAGAACAUAAUUUUCCUUGCAGUUGAAUGCAUUAAAGGUUAUGUAUUGUACUUUUGAAUGCUAAAGUGGUCCAUUUUUUAUGUGUUACUGCUACGAGAGUUAUAGAUUGUUGGACAUCAUUUUUUGGUUGGAAUGUUUACAUCAAACGUCUCCAAGGACAUGUCAUUCUAAAGUUUAAACUACAUCAUACCACAAAAUGCAGAAAAAGGUCUAAAGUAUGGGAUGUUUGUAAAUUUUCACGGGAGGCUUUGUUGGGUAAAUUGUAAAGGACUAGCAAAUAUUGUAACAAGAAUUGGCUUCAAAUCGUGAUAGAAAUCACUUUCCUUUAGGCUUUAUUUGUCCGGUAUAAAGUGCAAUAACCUUAGACAAAUAUCCUUUAAGAUAAGAUGAAGUUUUGUUUGUCUUAAACUCUUGCACAAAGCAAGACAAACCCUUUGUGAACUAAGGAGUGCUUUUGAGAGAGUAAGGAUAGUAGGAAAGUGAUUUUCUGCAGCAAACUACUCUCUACUUGACCUCUUUAUAUAGGAAGAUUGUUUGGGAAACAAAAGAUCUCAUUAAACACUUGUAUGAAUAGAUUCAAAGUAUUGUGUACACAUUCAUGCACUUUAAUUCAUGCAUCUCAUGAUCAUUUAGAUCAAAACAUGAAUCUAUCCUUUCAUUCAAUAAUUCUCAUAUACAUGAAUACAUUCAUAAAUGAAUGUACUUUUAGAACAUUCACAAUACUAUACAUGUACCAAAAAUUAAUGAAUACAUUAAUUACAUGUAUGUACAUCAUACAAAUUUUGAAAAGUUUCCAACAAUCCCCGCCAUUUUCAAAAUUUAGAAAAUGGAUUUCUAAAAGGUCACCAAGUAAUCUGACACUCAUAUGCAUAAAUAAUGGUGUCUUUCGAUUGAACCACUAUCUUAGUGAAGGUUCUUUGAAAUCAAUCCUUCAAGAUGGUAGACAAGCUUUGAACCACUUGGACAUUGGACCAACCUCAUAAACACAUCACACACUGAGCAAUGCACAACCAUAAGUUCUUCAACGAUACAUUUUACGGCCUUGUAUCACUAUCCUUUCUGAAUGUUUACAAAGUAAAGUCCUUAAUUUGUGGUUUGCCGAAAAAAACAUUCAUAUAGGCGACAUCUUAGUGCCCCGCCAUAGAUAGCACUUUUAAGAUUCGUUAAGAGUCCAAUGACUCAUCCUUACAUUUGCACUGGCGAGAAUAACAUGCACUAUUCAACAUUGGGAUGUCUAAACUUCACAUAGUGCACCAACCACUAGAAUGGUGUACUUUCACUCAUUGAAUUCAAGACUAGACGUUGUAUCUAGCGUUGAAUUGAGGUUCCACCAUUAGUGAUCAAAAUUUUGGACUUUAAACCAUCCCCUUGAUGUCUUUGACACCAAAUUUCUUGAUAAUCCUUUUGUCAAAGGAUCACUUAAAUUUUCAUUUGAUCUCACAAAGUCAAUUGAUAUGACUCCAUUUGUAAUCAAAUCUUUGACAUAACUAUGUCUCAAACCGAUAUGUCUUGAUUUACCAUUAUACACUUGACUAUAUGCUUUAGCAAGUGUAGCUGCACUAUCACAAUGGAUUGAGAUAGGCGACAAAGGUGUUGGCCACAAUGGUAUAUCAUAAAGUAAAUUACGUAGCCAUUCAGCUUCUUUACAGGCCGAAGCAAGUGCUACAAACUCUGCUGCCAUUGUUGAAUCGGUGAUACAAGUCUGUUUCUUAGAACCCCAAGAAAUUGCACCUCCACCAAGCAUAAAGAUCCAACCACUUGUCGACGAGUGAUCAUCUUUAUUGGUGAUCCAACUAGCAUCUGAAAAUCCUUCUAAAACUGAAGGAUAACCGGUAUAACAUAUACCAUAGUCUUAGUGGCCUUUAAAUACUUUAAAAUUUUGGUUACACCUUGCCAAUGUAACCUACUAGGGUUGCUUGUAUAUCUGCUCAAUAUACCAACUGCAUAUGCAAUAUCAGGUUAGUACAAGUCAUUGCAUACAUUAAAUACCCUAUAACCUUGGCAUAUUCCAUUUGAGAUUUUGAUCCCCCUCAUUUUUCACAAAAUUUAUUUUGAAUCCAAUGGUGUUGAGGCUGGAAUACAAUCACUUUGAUUGAAUUUGUUAAGAAUCUUUUCAAUAUAAUGUGUUUGAGACAACAUUAUAUUGUUAUCAUGUUUGAAGAUUCUCAUACCAAGAAUGACAUCUGCCUCACCCAUGUUUUCAUGUCAAAUUUGCUUGAAAGCAAAGUUUUUGUGACUUCAACUUGUUCCAAGUCAGUCCCAAAAAUCAACAUGUCAUCAACAUAUAAACAAAUUAUGACACCUUUGCCAUAUCAAACUUGCUAUAAAUACAUUUAUCAGAUUCAUUUAUUUUGAACCACUAGCAAGAAUAACUUGGUCAAAUUUCUGAUGCCAUUGCUUCGGUACUUGUUUUAGUCCAUAUAAAACUUUACAAGUUUACACACCUUAUGCUCUUGACCAGUAUCACAAACCCUUCGGGUUGCUCCAUAUAUAUUCUUCAUCCAAAUCACCAUUCAAGAAUGCUGUUUUAACAUCCAUUUGGUGAAUGACUAGAUUUUGGAUAGAAGCUAUAGCAAGUAGCACUCUAAUUGUAGCAAUUCUAGCUACUGGUGAAUAUGUGUCAAAAUAGUCCACACCAUACUUUUGUGUAACCUUUGGCAACCAACCUGGCCUUGAACUUAUCAAUAGUUCCGUCGAUCUUCAUUUUCUUCUUAAGAUCCACUUACAACCAAUUGGUUUUGAACCAGGUGGUAAGUCUACUAAUUUCAGGUUUUAUUACCCAUGAUUGAGUCCAUCUCAUCAUUAAUAGCUUCCUUCCAAAAGGGAGCAUCUUGUGAGUUCAUUGCUUCUUCAUAGGUCUUGGGAUCAGCUCAAUAUUGAAGCAAUAUGAGAUUUGGUUGCUCACUGUAUCUCUAGUUCUUCAACUAGAUACAUAUAAAAGUCCGAACCGAAGUCUUUUGAUUUCUAGCUCUUUUGCUCCUUCUCAAUUCAAUGGUUUCAUUUUCACCAUCUUUUGUCAAUUCACUUGAUUUUGGAAUAACAUCUUUUAUAGAGGUGAACCUAUUCUCUUCAAAAAUAGCAUCUCUAGACUCAAUUAUGGUAUUAACCGAAAUUGAAUCAUUAGGUUCAAUUACCAUGAACCUAUAUGCUUUGCUAUUUUGUGCAUAUCUAAAAUAUACACUCCACACCUCUUUCUCCCAAUUUCCUUUUUUGAGGUUCUGGGAGUUUUACAAUAGCUCUACAACCCCAAACUUUCAAAUAGUUUAGGUUGGACUUCCUUUUAUUCCAAAAUUCAUAAGGGGUUAUAGAACUUCUUUUAUUAGAACUCUAUUUAGGAUAUGACAAGCCGUUAACAAGGCUUCACCCAAAAUCCUUGACUUAAACCAGAUUUUGACAAAAGUGCAUUAACCAUUUCUGUCAAUACACGAUUUUUCCUUUCGGCUACACCAUUUUUUGUGGUGUGUAAGGAGCAGUCACCUCAUGUUUUAUCCCAACAGACUCAAAAUAGGUAAUAUCAUAAUAUUCCCCACCUCUAUCUGUUCUUAGACAUUUGAUAAAGGAUUCACAAUGAAGUUCAACUUCUGAUUUGUAUGCCUUAAAUUUUUGCAAAGUUCACUUUUGAGUGUAACAAGAAAACAUGACAGUAUCUACUAUAAUCAUCAAUAAAAGUCACAAAGUACUUUUUACCACCCAAAAUAGGAGUACCAUGCAAAUCACGUACAUCACUAUGAAUCAAAUCAAGAUUUUAGAUGAUCUUUCAACUUUAGAAACGAAUUUCUUGUGAUUUUCGUUAGCAUGCAUGUUUUGUAUUUUCCUUCAAUUUUACAAUAUGGCAGCAAAUCAAGUCUCAUCAUUUCAUGCAUUCUUUUGUAAUUAACAUGACCAAUCCUAUUAUGCCACAAUUUAAAAGAAGACUCAACCAAACGCAGAAAUAAUAUCACUCUUAUUAUUUCUAAUAGCAGUACAUUCAACUUAAACAUCCCAUGCAAAGAUAACCCUUGCCUACAAACAUACCACCUUUAGACAAAAUAAAUUUGUCAGACUCAAAUAUAAGUCUAAAGCCAAAUUUAUUUAACAGCUCAGCCGACACCAAGUUCUUCCUAACUUCCGGUACAUAAAACACAUUUGUCAAGGUUACAACAUUUUCGAAGUAAAUUUUAAUUCUAUUUCUCCAAUGUCUUGAACCGGAAUUGUAGCAGAAUUUUUCAUGUAAACAACGGUGCUUUCAUCCACCGGUUUCAUGGACUUGAAGAACGUUCUAUUGUUGCACACGUGUCGCGUAGCUCCAGAAUCAACCCACCAAGCAAAAUUAUCUUCAAUCAUAUUGAUUUCAGAUAUCAUUGCUACAAGAUUUUGCUUGUGGUUUGGGAAGACUCUUGCUUCUUCUUCUUGUUUUGAAGAAUCUUGCAAUCGGACUUGUAGUGUCCCUCUUUCUUGCAAUAGAAGUAUUGUCCCUUCUUUCUUUUCUUGGAUUGAUUCUUGGGUUGUUGGCCCUUCUUACUUCCUUGAGACUUUUCAGUUUGCCUCUCUUCAAUCACAUGCACUUUUGAAGUAGAAUCUUUGUUCUCUUCAAGGAUUUGACUAUCCUUCUUUUCUUGCAUGCGAAUUUCCUCUUCUACUCGAAGAGAUUUAGCAAAAUCUCAAGAGAGAUAUCAUCUUUUUUGUUUGAGGUCUCUUUUGAAAUCUUUCCAAGAAAGUGGUAACUUAUCUAUUAUAGAGCAAACAAUAAUGGCUUCAUCAUGUGUAGAUUGUGUUGUGUGAGUGAUUAAGAAGCCUUUCAAUCUCACUAAAUUGCUCCAAAACUUAUUAUCUACCAUUUUAUAAUUAUUAAAAGACGAGACAAGAAACUUCUUACUUGUAGCAUCUUCUUGCAUGUACUUGGACUCCAAUCGAUCCCAAAGUUCCUUGGCAGUAGUAAUUGAAUGGUAGACAUCGAACAGGUUGUCACUCAUGGUAUUGAGGAUGUGACCACGGCAUAUUUCAUCGUCGUUCUCCCAUUUCUGACGGUUUCAGAUGUGUUCAAGAGUUUCUUCAUCGGGAUUGAUCAAUGAUUUUGGUGUGAUCAAAACAUAGACCACUUUGAGUGCAGUGAGAAGGAAAUGAACACGUUUUUGCCAACGAACGAAAUUUCCUCCAUCAAACCGCGUGAGCUUGACAAUAUUGGAUGCCAAAUCUUUCAAGGUACCAUCCAUUGUAGAGUAUAAAUAAAGCCUAAAAUUGUUGGGUAAAUUGUAAAGGACUAGCAAAUAUUGUAACAAGAAUUGGCUUCAAAUCGUGAUAGAAAUCACUUUCCUUUAGGCUUUAUUUGUCCGGUAUAACGUGCAAUUACCUUAGACAAAUAUCCUUUAGGAUAAGAUGAAGUUUUGUUUGUUUUAAACUCUUGCACAAAGCAAGACAAACCCUUUGUGAACUAAGAGUGCUUUUGAGAGAGUAAGGAUAGUAGGAAAGUGAUUUUCUACAGCAAACCACUCUCUACUUGACCUCUUUAUAUAGGAAGAUUGUUUGGGAAACAAAAGAUCUCAUUAAACACUUGUAUGAAUAGAUUCAACGUAUUGUGUACACAUUCAUGCACUUUAAUUCAUGCAUCUCAUGAUCAUUUAGAUCAAAACAUGAAUCUAUCCUUUCAUUCAAUAAUUCCCAUAUACAUGAAUACAUUCAUAAAUGAAUGUACUUUUAGGAACAUUCACAAUACUAUACAUGUACCAAAAAUUAAUGAAUAUACAUUAAUUACAUGUAUGUACAUCAUACAAAUUUUGAAAAGUUUCCAACAGGCUUGUGAUAGCAAAAACUUCAGGAGGCUUCUGAAAUUAUCCCUUAAACUAAACUAAAGGAGGUAAGAUUUUAAGCAGAUCUCGGUAAGUUAAAAGGUUAAAACUUUACAUACAAAUAAAUGGUCAAAUUCACUUUAAAUUUGUGGUGUCAUCUUCCACCUUAAACUUUUGUACUAUCCAAGUUCGUUUUAAUUCCUUUGGGAAAAUCAAACAUCAAAUGCUUACCAUUUAUUGAAACAUUACAUCAUCCAUCCAAUUGAAACAAACUCCUACGGAGUUUUUUUUUUUUUUUUUGCUUUAUUUUGUUGUUAGAUAUGAAUUUAUUUCACAUUUGGUUGUCAGAUCUAAAUUUUUUUUUCAAAUUUUAAAUCUAUUUCAACAUAUCUCAUUAUCAUUAUUGAAACUUAAAACCGUUUAUUGGCAAAUCUGGUGAUUGCCAUAUGCACGGAAGGGAUGCACUUUUAAAAUUCUUUAUAUAUAUUUUUUUAGAUUUGUUUGUAAUUUUCAAAUCUAUUGUAUCUGUUAAAUUAUGAUCUGUAAUUUUUAAUGGAUGUUUGGCCUGCCAUUAGGGGAGUUAUGCAAAUCAAAUCAUGUUAGAUGAUUUCCAAAAAAAACUUAAUCGUCAAUUACUCUUUCCCAUUUUAUUUGUCCACUUUUCAAUUGUCAAUAACUCUUUUAAGAAACUUUGUAAUACAAAAAUCAACUGAAACCAGUAGAAUAUUACUUUGUAAUAUUUUUUUUGACAAAAAAAAGUAGAAUAUACAAUUAAUAGCAGUAUUCAUAUUAUGUUUUUGUAUAUUACUUGUACAUCUAAUUAGUCCCAUUUGGAGAAAAAAAAGGAUGAAGACAAAGACAAAAACACAUAAUAGUCACAAAAAACACAGAUCUAGCUCAAAAUAUGGCAGUGACCAAUUGUUCUGCAAAAUUAUUAGGAUAAGCAGUUGACAGAUUCUAUAAUCGCUUUUGGUCAAAUAUUAUUUAAAUUAGCUGGAUGGUCAAAUAUUACUUUUAAUUUUAAUCAUUUAAAUUACCAGUUACUAUCAUCAUUGGAAGAAGCACAUUGAGGGUCUGUUUGGAUUGUGAAUUAUUAGAGAUAUUUUUACUGUAGCACUUUUUAUGAUGUGAUGUAUGUGAGAUAAAAAGGUAAUUGGAAAGGUAAAAAGGUGUAUUGGAAAUUGUAAUAAUGAUGUAAGCAAAUAAAUUUUGAGAAAUAAAGCCCAAUCCAAACAAAGCCUGAAGGAAUGAUACUCUAAGAUGACUACAGAAAUUUUCUAGCUGGUUAUACAACAUAUUAAUAGUUGAAUGUUGACCUCACCAGCCAUCCCUCAUUCCUUGUCGCAUCCUUUUUAUGAAUUGGAUUCAUCUAUUUGGUGUUCUAAAAUCACAUUUAAAAGUUUUUUUUUUUUUGCGAAAGUGUUAUUAUUCAGGAUGUGUAUGAUAAUUUAAAAUUUUAAUAGUGGACCUAAAAAUAAAACUUGUAAAUUUUACAUAUGAGCCUACCUACUUUUAAAAUAGAGGGAAAAAAACAUCACAUAACUUCAAGUCCAAGAUUGUAUGCAGUUUGUCCAAUAAAUAGAUAUUCAUAAUUCAUAAUUUCAUAUACACAUGUUAACUAGAGAUGUCAAUCACAACCCAAUUAUAUUGAUCCGUUCAAAACCGUUCACUAAUAACCCAUCCAAAUUCACUCAUUAAAAUUUAAAUGGGUCUAAGUGAGUACCUAAUUAAAUCCAUUUAAUUGGUGGAUAGUUGAUUGAUUUGACUCACCCAUUUAUAACCAUUUAAAAAAAUAUAUUUUUAAACUCAAUUUUUACUAAGUGUUAAGAAGAUAAAUUUGAAUUUCCUACAAAUCUAAUAACAAUAAAAUAUCAUUUUUCUUGUUAAACGACAUGCAAAAAAUUUUAAAAAAAAUAGAAUUUCAAAUCAGUGUAAAUGGGUAAUUAAGUAUUUUCAUAUCCAUUUAUUAAAUAGAUAUAAAUGGAUUGAUUCAAUUAUAUCUAUUAUCCAAUUAAAAUUUGCUCAAACCUGUACAAGUCACUCAUUUUUAUGCUUCUAAUGUUAAUAUAUAUUCACAAGUGAAGAGUGCAGCAUUGACAAGGAAGAUAUACUUAUUUAUCCCAAUAUUAUAGUCAUUUUUUUCAUUACAAAAGUAUUGAUAAUUUCAUAAUUUCAUCAUCAGUGACAUAACAUUACAUGAAUUUCAACGAAGUAUGUAAUCAGUGACAUGACAUAACAUGUCAUCAUUAGUCUUCAGCGGUGAAUCUUAUCACGAGGCUUCUUUUCGAAGCUUUGAUUAUGGCAUACACUUCUGACAAAUGUCCCUUUUAGAAUAGGGAUAAUUUCUGUGACCAGGCUUUCUUUCAAAGCUUUGAUUAUGGCAUACACUUCUGACAAUGCCCCUUUUAGAAUAGGAUAAUUUCAGAAACCUCCCAGGGUUUGUAACAAUUCAUCGAACUUUUUGAAAUUUUUAAUAUUACACUUAUCUCCCUUUAUGAUAGACAAUAAUUAUAAUAACCUUCAUAAUUUUUUCAAAGACAAGCUAUUGAUAAAAAAGAUAAAAAAAAAUGAAAACAAUUCUUCUUGCUAAGCCUCAUAUUGGACUAAAUUGUUUCACCCAUAACCACUAAAUUGUAAUUUCUAUUACUCAGAAAAGAAGCAUUUUGGUAAUUGAGGGGCUUGGUUGUUUGAGUGGGAAAAGGGUAAGAAUUGUGAAUUUUAUGAUUGACGGUUUGGUAGACAACAUAUGGAAAAAACUUAUAGAGAGGUAAAAAUUAUAAAGAUAAGAAUUAUGAUGAUGGAUUUUGACAUCUAAAAUAUCGAGCUUGUUCGAAAAAAGGAAGAAAUGAUAAGAUCGAGUUUGAAAACUUGGGUAGAUGUAGAAAAUUAUGAGAUGAAAAAUAUUAGGACAUUGUCUAAGUAAUAAAACUCAUAGGUUUAUAGUAUACAAGUGUAUUCUUGAUUUUGAAAAAAUUUUAAUGACUAUUCAUAUUUUGAAAAUUAGAUAAGGGCAAUUUUGGACAUUCAUAUAUUUUUCUGGUCUUACAUCAUCAAGGUGAAACUCAAACCUAUGUUUUAGUAAAUGUAUGUGUAAUUUUCAAAAAGUGAGGAAAGCUGUCUGAAAUUAUCAGAAACCUCAGGGGUGAUUUAUGAAAUUAUCCCUAAUUUUUUUUUUGGUACAAAAAACUCCAAAAUAAUAUGUCCCACACUCUGUGCCACACUCUGUGCCACUUUUUAUUAUAUUGCUAUUUUUCCUACAUAAAUAACAUGUUUUAAUUCUUUUUUGCUUUCUUAAGAUCCAAUAACUAUUAAUUAAGUAAAAAAUAAAUACAACAACUUCAAAAAAGCAAUAUAUAAUAGAAAAUUAAAAAAUACAGCAGAAAAUUCAUAAAAAAUCUCAUUUUUAUAUAUUUUGAUUUUUUGACUUUGUUAAAUUUUGUGUAUUACUCAAUUAAUAGUUAUUGGAUCUUAAGGAAGCAAAAAAGAAUUAAAAUAUGAUGUUUAUGUAGGAGAAAUAGUAAUAUAAUAAAAAAUGGGACAGGCACAUGGUGUGGGACAAAAGGUCCGUUGCACCAAAAAAGUGGCAGUUCAAACUGGAACCAUCUCCUAUUUUCGCAAGUCCUCCCGCCGGCGGCCCUGGGUCAUCUAUAAAAGUAUAGACCAAGACAACACUAAUCCCUCAUCAGUCCACUCCAUACUUCUUCUUCAAGCCUCAGCAACGAAACAAUAAACUCUGCUCCACUCAACUCUUUCCUCUGUGUCUUGUGCUCUUGUCUGAAAAUGGGCGGCGUCAGAAGAAGUGAAAGUGCCAAGAAUCAAGCUGGGGUCGCAAGGUUUUGAAGUUUCAGCUCAAGGGCUGGGCUGCAUGGGCAUGUCAGCCUUCUACGGGCCGCCAAAGCCCGAGCCUGAUAUGAUCAAACUCAUCCACCAUGCUAUUUGCAGAGGAAUCACCCAUCUUGACACCUCCGAUAUCUAUGGACCUCACACCAACGAAAUACUCAUUGGCAAGGUACCAUAUUUGCAAAUUUUCUGCUGUUGUCUGCUAUGCGUAAACUCUUGUAAUUUUAAUUUCUAAAAGAGCAUAUUUUUAAAUAUUUUAUUUAGGUAAAUUAUACUUAAUCCCUUGCACUUCAAAAUUUGUCUCCCUUUGUGCCCCCUUAAUUUUGUUUGUCAGCACUUAAACUCCACUUGUUUAAAUUGUAAGUAUUAUUAGUCAAAUAUGACAUUGUUCUUCUUCAUUUUUUCAUGUUACUGCCUUUUCAGUUUGUCCUCCUUUAUAAAUAUGGGAUGAAUUACUUUGAUUUUGAUUUUGGUGCAAUUUUGUAUAAAAUGAUUUUUGCUAUGAAGUUAUUGAUUUAUUAUGAGCUAUGCGUUGUAUAUUUACACAAAUUCUGCUAGUUAAACAUUCACUUGAGCAGGCCUUCCAAACAUGAGCAAUAUAAUUCUCUAUGGGUGCAUUUGGUAAAAUUGACGAUUGAAAAUUGAAAUCUAAUUUAAAGUCUGAAUCCAUAAAAUUAUUAAUUUGUUAAGUACUAAAUUUGAUACGUUUGAGUGCAUGUCAUGUCAAGUGAUCACAGAAUAACUCAUCACUUAUUUUUUAAAGCAAGUUUUGCUUAAGAAAUUCAGUGCCAUUUAAUUAAUUUAGAUAUUCAAUGUUUAAUUAUCAAACAUAUAUGAAUAUAUUAACAUCUGAAUCUAUUAAUUUUAAGUGCUGAAUUGGGUUAUCAAACAUGACCUAUAAUUAUUAGGUAACCAAGCAGACAACAUGUUUAGUGUAUAAUAGUAAUUAACUUUCAAUUUGUGUCGUUAUUCUUUGGUAAAGAACUCUUAGAAUUAUUAAUAAUAAAUUUCUCAUACACGGGAAUCAAAAUAAUUGAAGUUUUAUCUCUACCAUUGAGAUAUGUUGCCAUCUAAAAGAAAGGAAAGGGAAGGAAACAUGGGGGAAAAUAGGGAAAGGGCAAAGUGAUGAUAAAUAAAAUUGGAAGUAGCAAAAUGAGACAAAUGAAUUAUUGCAAGGGGUUAAGUGUAAAUUAUGUUUAUUUUAUGAGACCAUUUAGGCAGAAAGACUGGACCCUUUUAACGCGCCAAUCAAAAGUUCCAAUUGCUGAAAAUAACAUAAAAACUUGACUUUGUUUGGUUUGGCGUUUUUGGAGGUGGUUCAUGAAAAUUUUAUUGUAGUUUUUUUUUUCAUCUUGAAAAAUAUACUUUUUUCAUCAAUUUAUGGAAAGUUUACAAUUUCUCUGAUAACAGAUGGUAAAAUUUACUUUUUACGAGCACUGAAGUUUUAAAGAUUAUGAAAAGAGAAUUGUAUGAAGGAAUAGAAGGGAAAAGAAGGGUAAGAAAAUGGAUGGAUUGUGUUUGGAUUGAUUUUGGAGGGGCAAGGAGAGGAAACGGAGAGAAAAGGAAAUGGAUGGAUUGUGUUUUGCUCAGACAUCAUUUCCAUACAAAAGUAGAUAGAAACAGAGGGAAAGAAAAUCUUGUUGAUGAUUUUCUAGUAAAAUGCCUCGAGCACCCAAAUUUUACAUAAACUUGCCAUUUGUGAAACCUGCUUUAGAUAUGAAUUGUGGGAUGCAACAGCAGGCUAGGAAUGUUUGACGAAGCAACUUGUGUAGAUAUUUUAUCGUUAAGUAAAGAGAAAAACUAUUCCUUUCAUGUCUGUCGUUCUACCAAACAGCAUAUUAGGUUUUCUUUCUUUCCCAUUCAUAUCUAAUCCAAAUAAGACAAAUGAGAACUAUUUUCUCUACUCUCUUUCCUUUCUUUUUCACUAGCAUGUUUUAUUUAUUUAUUUAUCCUUUCCUUUGAUCCAAAUGGUUCCUAAAAGGCCACUAAUUAUUCUACAUUGACCAGUUCCCUAUUUUUGUAUUAAUUUGCAUGUGCACGAUUCUGUGUAUGUUCAUGUUGUGCAUCAAAUCUUGUGAAUGACAAAGCUAGAGUGUAAAUUUAAGUUGAAGAAAUAUAAAACAAAAAAGAAAAUGGAUUGGCUCCUUUAAGAGUAUCAGACUUCUAAACCCCAAGGAUUACAUAAUUUUCAUAUCCUUUGCGAUACAAAGAAGUGGCAUAGCCUUAACAAUGAAGUGUUGGAAAAACUCCAGAAGGAAUGUGCCCAUCCAUGAAAUCCCAAAUCGGCUUGCUGUACCAUGCAGUAAUGUGUAUGUCCUUGAUGAUUAACAUAAUGAAAUCAUGGUUCUAGGCCUUGAAGGAAGGAAUAAGAGCGAAAGUGGAGCUAGCAACAAAAUUUGCAAUCAGUUAUCAGGAUGAGAAGUUUGAUGUACGUGGUGAUCCAGCCUAUGUGAGGGCUUGUUGUGAAGCGAGUUUGAAGCGGCUUGAUGUGGACUGCAUUGAUCUCUAUUAUCAACAUCGCAUUGAUACACGUGUGCCCAUUGAAGUCACGGUUUGCUCGUCUUGCCUUUCUUGUUUUUUAGCUCCACCUCAUUCUUGAUGAAACAAAAGUUUGAUCAACUCCAAAUUUUGAAUAAUUCAGUUUCAUGUCCGUUUCAAUUCUUCAAAAGUUGCACAGAAAAGUUAGUCAACCUUAUGGUCUCGGCUAAUCUGCAGUAUGGUAUAGCUGAUUUUGCACAAGGCAUCCUGAAAAGUGAAAACAAUGAAUAUGUCUUAUAUUAGCUUUGGCUGUCCUGCUGAGGGAUAUACAGGUGGAAAUCAUGCUAUACAUUGUACAGCUUUCCUUUAGAACCAAGAAACCCGAGCAUUCUCUUUCAAUUGAGAUAGGCUAUCUGGUUGAGUAAUGAUCUGCUAUUUACUUACCUUGUCAACCAUUUUCAGUUGGUGCCUAAAGCACUGCAGAUAGACAUUUAUUAUUGAUAUCUAAAAAACAUGGUACUCAUUUUGUCCAGAGCACAGCUUUUUGUCUAAUUGUCAAAGCCAGCUGCAACUGCCCCAUUGACCUCUCCAGACAAUUCAAAGAUUUCAGCAGCUUGCUUACAUUCAGCUUUUAUGAAACAAUUUCUGUCUUCUUUUUCUCAUGUAAUCAGCAAAGAAUUGUCUUGGUUUCCCUGAGUAUUAGAUAGAAACUUUCUUGCAGUUUAAUCACUCAAAAUACAAGCAAGUAUAAGGAAAUCAAGCAAAAUUGGCAACUGAUAAUUGGUAUGUACGGCCAUUAUUAUAUAUAGAAGUCAACAAUGCCAUGUAAUCAUAUUGGAGGAGCAUUAUGUUGGCAUGGUCCAGUAGAACUAAGUCCUCCGGUGGGCUGUACAUAGAGAACUAUCACUGGAUGCUGAUUGCCAUUUUCAUCAAUUAGUGAUUUCAGUUUGAUGUAUACUUUGUCCACGACAUCGUUGAACUAGUGCAACUUUUACUUUUUGCACGUAAUAUUUCGAUUAUCUGCCUAAGUGUUGAAUGUAAUAAAUCAGCUUAGCAUCUUCUUGUCCAUUGAAAUUCUCUAGAUAGGAGAGCUCAAGAAACUGGUUGAAGAGGGUAAAAUAAAGUAUAUAGGUCUGUCUGAGGCCUCAGCUUCAACAAUUCGAAGAGCACAUGCUGUUCAUCCAAUAACAGCUGUACAGUUGGAGUGGUCAUUGUGACCAGAGAUGUCGAGGAAGAGAUUAUUCCCACUUGCAGGUAGUGCAUAUAUUCUGCUGCAUUUUCUACAUGGUCUAGAAGAAAUAUUAAGUUCUCAAUUCAGUUUUUGGUAUAAUCUUUCAGAGAGCUUGGCAUAGGGAUUGUUGCAUACAGUCCACUUGGACGAGGUUUCUUCUCAUCAGGUCCAAAGCUGAUUGAGAAUUUGGCUGAAGGUGACUACCGAAAGGUUUGUGCAUAUCGAAAAAGAUGGAGUUUUUGAGUAUACAUUGUUUAUAGUUCGAAUAAGUUUCUCACUCAUCUAUUUUUACCACAUUCAGUGGCAAUCAUGCUUGAUAUCAAAAGAGGAAGAAACUAUGUCACUUUUUAAGUAAAAGUCUCUUUACGGUUUUGAAGGGAAAAGGACCUUAGACUUCAAUUUCAUCAUUUAAUCUCAGGCACAGAACUUAUGCUGUCCUGUGAAACUAUCAUUUUUCCUUUACCAUUAAUCCUAAAACUGAGUUUCAUUGGUCAGAAAUAUACUUCAUAGUAGUACCUCCUCUAGCGUUCAUCGUAGUACCUCCAUCGUUCAAACAAACAAAAAUUAGUUGAUUUGUAUUUUAAGUUUCCUCUUUGAUGGGAAAUGUAUCUCAGAACUUAACUCCAACGGUUGAUGCUUCCUCCGUGGAGUAUUCAGUCGAACUUGAUGCAUUGUUCUUUCCCCUGAACUUGUGCCCUUCAAACAGUAUUUCUGAUCAUCUUGAAGUAAUUAGUACCGUCUGUUCAUUACUCCCUCCCGAUUUCUUGCAUUAUAGCUUCCUCUUUAAUGGGAAAUGUAUCUCAGGAUCUACAUUCUACAAUUGAGGUUUCUUAGAGUACUCAGUCCACCUUACUGGAUUGUUCCUUCCCCUGAACUUUGUACACCUUAAACAAUACUAUCGAUCAUUUUGAAGUUAUUCAUAUUGUCUUCAUUUGUAGAUGACACAUGCUUUGCUCCCUUUUGAAUUUCUGGCAUUACAGUUGCUUAAAUUUUGAAAUUCAUACAAUGUAGGAUAUGCCAAGGUUUCAAGCAGAGAAUUUGGAGCAGAACAAGAACUUGUAUGAGCGGGUCAAUGCCAUUGCUUCAAGAAGGGUUGUACUCCAUCACAGCUAGCAUUGGCCUGGGUCCAUCACCAAGGCAAUGAUGUUUGCCCCAUACCUGGCACUACCAAGAUUGAGAACCUCAAUCAGAAUAUAGGAGCUUUGUCUGUAAAACUGUCAGCAGAGGAAAUGGCGGAACUUGAAUCUUUUGCUUCUGCGGGAGUCAAGGGUGAUAGGUAUGGGCCUGGCCUUGGUACUUGGCAAACUUCUGAAACUCCACCUUUGUCAACCUGGAAGAGAACAUGAAGACAUACUUUGUUAUUGCAAUAAUUCCUUCUAGCUAUGUGCCUGAUGGUGGAUUCCACUAUAUUAAGAGUUGAGUGAUAUGUAUUUGUUCCAAUAAAGUUUGACAUACUAUUGUCUCUAGGGUUAAGGCAAGUAAAGUUAUAAGAAGAAUGGAGUUUCUUCAGAGGUUGUAAUGAAUAAAUAUCUGGUCAUGUAAAAGCAGAAUAUAAUUUUCCUUGCAGUUGAAUGCAUUAAAGGUUAUAUAUUGUACUUUUGAAUGCUAUAGUGGUCCAUUUUUUAUGUGCUACUGCUACGAGAGUUAUAGAUUGUCGAACAGCAUUCAAUUCAGGACUUAUUAAACAUAAGCAUAUAAACAUUUUAUGCUCGGAAUAUUUACAUCAAAAGAAACUCCAAGGUCACAUCAUUGUAAAGUGUAAACUACAUCAUAUUAACAAAAAGCAAAAAAAAAAAAAAAAAGGUCUAAAUGAGGAAAAAAAUGUACUAUAGAAGUAGUCAACAAUGUCAUGUAAUCAUUUGAUCCUAAAAUUGAGAUUAAAAUUUAGUUGAUUUGUAUUUUGAGUUUCAUCUUUGAUGGGAAAUGUAUCUCAGAACUCAACUCCAAUAGUUGAUGUUUCCUACUUGGAGUACUCAGUCCACCUUGAUGCAUUGAUCUUUCCCCUGAACUUGUGCCCGUCAAACAAUAUUUCUGAUCAUCUUGAAGUAAUUAGUACCAUCUGUUCAUUACUCCCUUUUGAUUUCUUGCAUUAUAGUUUCCUCUUUAAUGGGAAAUGUAUGUCAAGAUCUACCUUCUACAAUUGAGAUUUCUUAGAGUACUCAGUCCACCUUACUAGAUUGUUCUUUUCCGUGAACUUUGUUCACUUCAAACAUUACUAUGAUCAUCUUGAAGUUAUUCGUAUUGUUGUCUUUUGUAGACGACACAUGCUUUACUAAUUACUGCACUUUGAAUUUCUGCAUUGCAGUUGCUUAAAUUUUGAAAUUCAUACAAUUUAGAAUAUGCCAAGGUUUCAAGUAGAGAAUUUGGAGCACAACAAGAAGUUGUAUGAGCGGGGUCAAUGCCAUUGCUUCAAGGAAGAGUUGUACUCCAUCACAGCAAGCGUUGGCCUGGGUCCAUACCAAGGCAAUGAUGUUUGUCCCAUAACUAGCACUACCAAGAUUGGAAACCUCAAUCAGAAUAUAGGAGCUUUGUCUGUAAAACUGUCAGCAGAAGAUAUGGCUGAACUUGAAUCUAUUGCAUCAGCUAGAGUCAAGGGUGAUAGAUAUGAUCCUGGCCGUAUCAAGGGCAGAGGUUAUGGGAUCUGAUUAUGGGCAACUGAUUAUGGAAUCUAUUCUAUCAUAAUUGCAAAGAUUAUGACUGAAAUUAUGGGAUCUGCUCUAUCAUGUAUAUUAGCUGUAUAUUAGCAUAUGUGUCAUUAAUAUAUCAGAUAGGUAGAUAUAUUCUUACAUAGAAUAGAAUGUACAGAGUUUCUAUUUAAUGGAAAAGAUGCACAAAAGACAGCAUUCAGUCUUUGAUCUAGAAAAUUGUCAUGGUAUCAGAGCUGGUUAUUUGAAUUUCUGUGUCUUUCAAAAUUUGCUGAGUUGUUAUUCUUCUUGGGUUGAUUAUUUUGAUCAAUCAUUUGGUUUCAAGAUAUCAUUUUGGGUCAAUCAUAUUGUGGUUGGCAGCCUUUCUUGUAAUUCAGAUCUUUGUUUUUUUGAAAGUAUGUCUGUGGCAAACUCUUUGGGAAAAACACAUACGGAAUCUUUGUCUAUCAAGUUCAUUGGGAAAAAUUAUGCAGCAUGGGAUUUAGAAUGUUUCUAAAGGCAAAGAGCUUUGGAGUCAUAUUGAUGGGUCUUCUACAGAACCUAGAGAUGGAAAAGAAUUUAGUCAAUGGGAGGCAAAGGAUGCUAGAAUUAUUUCUUGGAUUCUAGCAUCUAUUGAAGCUCAUAUGGUGAAUAAUUUACACUCCUUUAAUACAGCAAAGGAGAUGUAGGAUCAUUUGAAGCGUGUAUAUCAUCAAGAUAAUACAGCAAGAAGAUUUCAACUUGAAUUGGAAAUUAGUAACUACGGCCAAGAUAACCUCUCUAUUAAGCAGUAUUAUUCUGGAUUUUUUAAUUUAUGGAGCGAAUACUCUGGUAUAAUCUAUUCUAAGGUACCAAGCGAAGCCUUAGCUGGUAUUCAAGCAGUUCAUGAAGUUAGUAAGCGUGACCAGUUUCUAAUGAAACUAAAGCUUGAAUUUGAAGCGGUCAGAGCUGGAUUGUUAAAUAGAAAUCCAAUUCCUUCUUUAGAUGUAUGUCUUGGUGACUUGUUGCAAGAAGAACUGAGAAUGGCUACACAAACUAUCAUAGGUGCAUCGAAGGAGAUAUCCGAAGUUGUCAAUAUUGCCUAUGCUGCUCAAGGGAGGAAUCGCGAAAAGGGACAAGUACAGUGCUUAAAAGCAGUCUGUUUGCCAGACACAUGGUGAGCCACAUUUAAAAAUUGGUUUCUAUCAUAAAGCCUAUCAUGUCCGGACAGAAGAUGGACUGUUUUUUAAAUUUUUUAUGAAAGCAAGUGAAAAGUGUUGCAACUCAGGACUUGGAUGGUAAUUCUAAAAUUUAUUAGUGCACCUACCUUUUAACUUUUGGUGUGCUUUUAAGGUAUCAAAUGGGGGAAAAAAAACCAACACCAUAUAACUUCAAAUGCAAGAUGGUACGAAAUUUGUAUCCAUUGACAUGUAAAAAGUGCACCGUUCAUCACAAAGAUAUUUAUCCUAAUAUUUAGAUUCAUUUUUUCAAAAAUUUCAACUUUGCAUGCAAACAUGUAAUCAAUAUGCAUAAAUAGAUAGCAUUAGAUGAAUUUAAACAAGUAGCCUUCAAAUUUAAAAUAUAUUGAUUUCAUAAAGGUGCAUUCGCAAUUUAGAAAAGGACUUUUCAAAUGGCAAAUCUAGAGAGCAAUAAAUACUCCUACUUUAUUUUGAUUUCAAAUCUUAUUUUGACUUGUCAAAAAAGUGAAACACGAAACCAAUAAUGGUCGAUACAAGGCUAAUUACUCAGAAUAUCGAUGUAAAAAUAUUGGACAUAUAUGAUUUUGACAAUGGGCAUGUAUAAAACUAUUGCUGUAAGGUUGUGUCAGCCCGGCAGCAAAAGAGGGUUUUUUUUAAAGCCUGCCAUUGCCACCGAGCUGACACGGCUCGGCAGCAAUAGUUUAAUUUUUUUUAAACGCUGCCGGGCCUUGUCAGCCAGAUAGAACAAAAAAAAAAAAUUUUUUUUAAACACAGCCGGCAGCGGGCAACAUUUGCAAAAAACUUUAAAAAGCUGGCUGCCGGGCUACGACAGUUCAAAAGAUUUUGCUAUCCGCCUACAACACCAGGUGAUAAAGAUAAGGGCAAAGGCGUACCGGGCAUUGAUAUGAUCAUUUCCGGUGCAUGUUUUAAAAUUUCAAAUAUUUGAAUAUGGGGAUUUAGCGUUAUUUUAAUCUUUUAUUAUUAUAAUGCUUGUCGUUAUUUUUAAAUUUCACAAUUUCAGCAUGUCAUGUUGCAUUUUUCCUUCUUUUUUUUUUUGCCUAUUUUGUUUUUAUAUUGCACAAUAACUUUAUAUUUAUAAAAUUAUAUUGUACAUUAAAAAUUACAUAAUAAUUUUAACAAACAAUUUUCCGGUACAAUUUGAAAACUGCAUCUUAUUGUAAAAUGAAAGAGAUUUUUUGUUUAAAAAAACCUUUUUUUAGUUUUUUACCUAUCGGAGUAAUUAUUAAUUUUACAAAUCUGUUUUCAUCUUUUUCUUACGUUCCAACUUUGAAACGUAAUUUAAUUAACUUAAAAGACUGUCGGGUUUAGUAUGUCAGGUAUCACACUUGUUGUAAUUAAAAAAAAUUUUCUUCUUAUUUUUUCAUUUUUUUGUUUUUAUAUUGCAAAAUAAAUUUAUACAUUUUUUCGAUUUUUCUAUACAAUUUAUAACAAAAAAAAAUAAUAUCAAAUAUUAUACAUUGUAAUUUUAACAAUUAUUUUGCAACGGUUUAAAAAACCUUUUUUAGUUUAACAUCCUAUAUAUUUUACGAAAAUGAUUUGAAUAUUUUUUAAUCAUUUAAAGAAAAGAUAGAUUUCUACAAUUACUAUUUUUUAAAUUUUAAUCCUUAAGAUAAAGAUUUUUGCGGGAAAGAUGAAGAUUUAAAGAAACAAUAAAGAGGCAAAGAAAAUAAAAGAGAAAAAUAGGAGAGGUAAUUUUGUCCAAUGGAGGAUAUAAUGAGACAGAAAAAUUCCGAUGAGGAUAAAGUAAAAAAAGAGAUAUAUUUUAAGGACAUUAAUUGUGAUUAACCCUAUUUCUUAUGCUCAAUUUGUAACUGGUCCAAAGCAUCAAAAGUAGCGUCCGCCUCCCAGGUGAUGAAUUCAUGGUCUUGAAUGUCCAAUAACCUAAGAAGAGUAAAAAGAUCACUUUAAAGUUGCUCCACACCCUACAAAUGCUUCUGAUACUAACUUUCUCGUCAUAUUAACAAAUGCUCCGCACCUUAAUGCUUCAGCACCCGUAAAAAACGUGUUUUUGCAACUGGUCCAAGAGUUGAACCCUUCGCUCAGAGUUACUUCUGGAUGUUGAAAAAAAACAUUUCGAUCACUUGAAUCUAACCUCCGCGUCUAAUCAAGCCAGAAGGCCAGCUUUUUUUUCACUGACCCUUCACGUGAACCUUCUGAGAACUUAUCUCAAGGGAAACUUUUAGUGGUUCAGUAGAAUUUUUUUUAAUCCUCUUACAUGUUUCAUUCGUAUCUCUCUACUUCAUGUCCGUGCAUUGUUGAAUUCUGAAGUGCAGGUCUUCUUUCGCCCGUAUUGUUAACCUUCUUUUUCAUGUUCAUUGAAGCACAGCAUUCUUUUUUUUUGAAAUUUUUUUUAAAAUUGGACUAGCUGCUGGACUGAGCUUUUUAAAGUUUUUUGCAGAUGUGCGUCAGCCCGGCAGCCAGCGAAUUAAGAAAAAAAAAAUUUUUUUGAGGCCGGCAGCGUUUAAAAAAAAAAAACUAUUGCUACCGGGCAAGCUUUAAAAAAAAAAAAAAAACCCUAACAGCAAUAUUUUUAUACAUGCCCAUUGUCAGAACCAUAUAUGUCCAAUUUUUUUUUCAUCGAUAUUCUGAGUAAUUAGCUGAGAUAGAGAGGAGUAUUAGAAAUUUGUUUUCUAGAUUCUUUGGUCUCCCAAUUUUUUCAACGGUCAACUCCGAUCAUUAUUAUCACAGUCAUGUGAUUGUAGGUCUACCACGCUUCAUAGUCCACAACGUGGAUUGGCACCACAAAGGAUGGUUUCAAAACACCAUUUUAGUCUAGUAAGGAUUGUGUAUAUAACACAAGUCUUUUUAGGUUUUCCCUCCCCUGUAAUCUAAAAUAAAAUAAAUAGGUUAUACAAUUGUUAUAGUCUUCAGAAAAAAAGGAUAGGUCCCACCCUAUUAUUAUUAUUUUUCUUUUAUAAUCAACAACGCCUAUUCUACACCUAUUUCAACUUCUAUUCUAGGGGAACGGGAGUUCAACUGAAAAAUUAAUGGUGAUUGAACCACGAACGGACCAAAAACUUUCAAGAUAAAAUUUGAUCUAAAAAUAAAUAAUAAUAUAUUAACUUAUUAUUUAAUGCGAUACAUAUUCAAAUAUAUUAAAUUUAAUAAUUUAAUAAAUUUUAAAUUUUACAUUUUAAAUUUUAAUUUUCAACCUUCAAUGUUGCCGUACUUACAACAACAACUUCUAGAUGGUCAACACUUAGAGUCGUAGCCCUUGCUUUUGGCAUACCCUAGUCCCUAUUUCUGUUGUUAUCAAUGAGGAAGCAAAUGUCUGCUAUUAAUUACACGAGACAUCAGUAGGUUUGUUUGGAUUGGAGGUUAUUUGAAAUAUUUUUUGAGAUAAUUAAUGUAGUACUUUUUGUGAUGUAAUGUAUAUAAGAUAAAAUUGUGAUUGGAAAUUGUGUGGAUGCAAAACAAAAUUUUGAAAUUUUUUUUUGAAAACCUUAAUAUUAUUGGCUGCACUACAAAUCAGUCAAAACUCAAGAGAUGAUAUUAAUUGAAACAAGUGGGCAAAUUGAACGAGGAUGCGUAAUUGACAUGGAAGUCUUGGUAGACUUGGAGGUAGGCUUGUCAACGGAUUGGGUCUGGGUCGGAAUUCAUUAUUCUGGACCCGGAUCCGACAUACUAUAUUGGACUCGGAUUCGACCCAUUUAUUCGACGGGCCUUCUACUCUAUAUUCUGAAUCCGGAUCCGACGGGUCUCGGAUUCGGGUCGAGUCUACCCGAAAAAAUCUAUCAAAACUUACAAAUUCUAAUAAAAAUGAGAAAAAAAUAUAUUUGUAAACCAAUUUUUAACUAAUAAAAAAAAUCAAAUAAGAAAAAAAAUCAAAUUGACUUUACUCAAAUACAUCACCCUAAUCAAAUUAUAUUGAUAAAUAUAUAUAUAUUUAAAUUGUUAAUCCAUUUAUAUCCGAAUCCGGGUCUAAUACGGGUCGAAAUAUUAUAUUCCGUAUUCGACCCGUUUUUUGUUUGAUAAAACGGAUCCGGAUCCGGGGUCCGAGUAAUGGAAUUAAAUCCCUACUCGUACCCACAAUAAUUUGACGGAUUCGAUCCGGAUCCGGAUCUAGACUCGAACUGUUGACAGGCCUACUUGGAGGGAUCAACAUUUGAAUCUGACUUGGAUGAGGUAAGCACAAAGGUAAGCAUUUUCCAUUUUUAUUUUGGUUUUCAUUUCUUGUAUACUUUAAAACGUUUUUCAUUCUACCUCACUCACAUAUAAUAUAUAAUGAAAUGUAAAUUUUUUAUGAAAACAUAUAAAAUAUAUAAAAUGAAAAAUAAAUUUUUAUAAAAACAUAUGUUUAUAUUUUUCUUUGUAUAAUGAAAAUUUAUAAUUCAUUCUACCAAUAUAUACGCAUAUAUAUAUAUAUAUAUAUAUGUAUAAUGAAAAAUAAAUUUCUUCUUCAUCUUUAGGGCUGCACCUACAAACAACAAAACUCAGCUCCACUCAACUCUUUCCUUCAUGUUUUUUAUAAAAAACAUAUAUAUAUAUAUAUAUAUAUAUAUAUAUAUAUAUAUAUAUAUAUAUAUAUAUUAAGUUACACUAAUUGUUUUAUCUCUUAAUAAUUUUUAUUUUUUUUACUAAUAUUACCUCAUGAGAGGCAAAAAGGGUAUAAAUGGAACAAAAUUAUUAUCUCAUUUUCCAAAAGAAUUUUUUAAUGGUACUUUUUCUAACAUGGGUUGAAGCUACUAUCAAAAUCUAGUUUAGGGAAAGUUAGUGCUAUUUUUUAAAUUUUAGGGUAGAUGAGUACAACUGUUAGAAACCUCAAAAAGGGAUGGUUUCUGCAAUUAUCCCUAAAAGCAUAGACCAAGACUACACUAAACACUAAAAAUUUGACACCUAUUUCUUAUAACUAUACUAGAUAAUCUCAUAAUUAUAUAGAAAAAUAAAUCAAAAUUCAUUACACAAAAGCAUUUUUGGAUAUUUAUUUAAGAAUUUGAUCAAAUUAAUAUUAUUUUAAAGUUUUAUUACAAAAACUAUCAAAUUAAAGGAGGUAGGGGUAAUGUUUCAAACCUCACAGUGAAAUUGUUAGAAACCUCAAAGAGGUUCUUGAUAUUAUCCCUAAUUUUUUUGGGUACAAAAACCUCCAAAAAAGUGGCAGUUCAAACGGGGCCAACAUUCUCCUAUCAUCACAAGUCCUCCCGCUGACCCACUAGCCGCCGGCGGCCCUGGGUCAUCUAUUAAAGGCUUAAAGCAUAGACCAAGACUGCAGUAAUCCCUCAUAUACACAUGUUAACUAGAGGGGUCAAUCACAACCCAAUUAUAUUGAUCUGUUCAAACCCGUUCACUAAUAAUCCUUUCAAAUUCGCCCAUUAAAAUUUAAAUGGGUCUAAGUGAGUACCUAAUUAAACCCAUUUAAUUGAUGGAUAGUUGAUUGAUUCAACUCACCCAUUUAUACCCAUUUAAAAAUAAAUAUAUGACAGGGUGUCGAGCCUGUGCAAUAAUAAUUAUCUACUCAAGAAAAACACAAAUUCUGUAUAUAGCAGUGAGUAGAGUCGAAUCCACACGGACUGUAGAUAAUUCGUUUCUUUUAGAGUCCAAAGUAUGGGGGUUUUGGAGAAUAUAAAAUAACUAAUUAACUAACUAAUAAAACAACUAAUAGAAAUAAAUAGAAAUUAAUCAAUAACCAAUAUGACUCUAGCCAAAGGUGCAACUUUUCAGACACGGUCCAUUCAACUGAUCAUCGAUGCAAAGAUAAUUCAAUUACUCAUUACUAGAUUGGUUAUAAUUGUCAUACACGCGAUGAACAACCAGCCUUUUCUUAAUUUCUCGAUAGUUAAAGUACGACCGUUAACUAUUUCUCUAACCAAGUAAUAACCCUAGGUACGACCAUAGGAUUUAAUUACUCGAUUACAUUAAUAAUUAGAAAAACCCAACCCUAACCAACAAACACGCUACGAGGGUUUGUUUAAAUUAGAUCAUACGUUUCCCUAACAUGAAACCAAUCACGCUAGUCGCCACUGGUAUUAAUCAAUUGAACAAUUACGGAUUCAAUCAAUUAAUUUAGCAUUAGAUCAUUAAGUUAAUUUGAAUAUCGGGCCCUUGACAUUCAAAUAACAUAACAAACAUAAGCAAUUAAAUCAGGAAACGUAAAAAUACCAAUGAAUAAAAGAAAUAAAUAAAAUUAAUUCGAUCUCACAGAUAUUUGGAACCGCGCCUUCAAAUUGGCCUUCGACUAGAUGAAAGGUUUAGUUCAUCUACAUGGAGGAAACCCCAUGUGAAAUUGCAGAAGUAAUUAUUCUAAAACAAAGCUAUGUUUUCGUCCUCCAUUGAAGAAAACGGCAAAGCUAUAUAUAAAGUAAUGAAUACGAAGGAACUACCUAGAAGCAAAAACAAAACGAAGCUCUCCUAUUCUAAAACAAAAACUACUUGUCUAGUGGUCCCCGCCGAAUUUAGAUAAAAGGGUGCAAUCCGUCAGAUCAAGCUUUGCCGACUUUUUCUCCUCUUUGUUGCCUAUUGCUAGGCAAAGACUUCAGUGCCCAGACCAUUCCUAAUCAGUGAAAAGAAAAUGCACUCCCUCUGCCGCACUCUGUGGGCCAGGUUGUUGAAGCUCUUUGGAGUCUCCUAUGUGUGGAGCUGUUUUAUCCUUCAGAUGGUCUCGCUCUUUUUUUUCUUUUUAUUUUCUUUUGUGUACUUUUCUGCUCCAUUCCUGAAAUGAGAUCCAAAUACCAAAUAUAAAUAUAUAUUAACAAUUAAACAAUAUUUAGUAAGGACAGAGGGGAAAUUAAUAAUAAAAUAAUCAAUAAUUAACACCCUAUCAAUUCCCCCCACACCUAAAUCAUACUUGCCCUCAAGCAUGGGGACGACAAAUAACACCAAAAUUUGAAAAUGGGUAUUGCCCCAUCUACCCUAUUGUCAAGAUACCAAGGAAAACAUCUAUCAAGCAUCAGUGAUCAGGGUUCAAGAAACAUCACCCCAAUUAGCUUCUAAACCACAAACUCCUCCAAUUUAAGACAAACUAAUCUAAGAAAAAGGAAUGGUUGCUCACAUUUAUCAACAAAUGGUCCAACUAUUAACUAAAAUCUCGAUAUUAAGAUCACAAACCGGCAAGCUGACUUAUUCACAUACUAACACAAUCUUUACUUUACUUCUUUUUUUUUUUUUUUUGAAUAACAAAAGACUUAGUCUAUAGCCCUUAGAGCCUUUUGACGCGAACUCCAACAUUUGCCAGAUGGAGAAGCCCGGUUUCUCAGCUCCAAUCGCUACGGGACCACGCACUCAUAGUAACUACUACCUUUUGAGGCGAAAAUCGACACUUUAGGUCAAGAUCCCCGAUCACUCAGUAGUAACCACUAGCGGAGUACAGUCAACUCUUAUUUACAACCAUAUAGCACGAUAACUAAAAAUAACAGCAGGCAGCCUCAAAUUUCCAAACAUGGAGAACUAAAAUUAAUAACUGGACCAAUUCACAUGAAAAAUGCCAACAAUCAUUCCCUAUGCCUAGAAAAGUUAACCAAAAAUUAGAAAAGUCAAGCAAUUACUGAUAUUCACAUGAAAAGUCAAGCAGAAGUAAGCAAAAGAGCAACUGUACUUCCCUGAAAUCACGGGGGGCAUGGCGGGGCCACAGCAGUGGGUGAGGCCGGAAAUGGUUGAUUUGGGUUGGGGUAGGCUAAGGUCGAGAGGUUCCGGACCUAGAAGAGGACUUUGAUCUCACCAUCGUCGCUAACAGGUAACCCAAUCAACAGAAACAAAAUUGCCAACAGAUAGAGGAACAAGUAAAUCUAGAUCAAUAGAAAUCAAUAUCCUCAAGUGAAGUCAACAAUCAACCCAAUAAGCACAGGUAUCUUCCAAUUUAAAAGGGUAGUGCACAAUAAAUGGCCCACCAAAUUUGCAAUGUAAAGCCCUGAGCAAUUCAAUCAAUACCAGAAAAUCGCCCCAAACAAUGUAACAGUUAAACUCCAUGGGCCAUGGACGUCCAACCAAUUUCACUCGAACAAACUAUGAGCAGUGCGAGUGACGAAACAAAGCAACAAAUUUCAGCAAUUAGACACAAUUCCACUCAAAAUCUCAACAAAUAUCUCCAAUGGACAGUCUUACACAACUUAACCAACUGGAAUUAGCAAAUAUCCCCAAGAAACUGACAAAACAAGCAAUAGUAGUUCAAAAUUUGGACUACAACUAAAUCAAAAUGUUGUUUCAGUUUUCAAUCAGGUAGCCAACCAAGUAGAAUCAAUAAAUGUAGACAAAAUACCCCAACCAGUACCACUGGUGUAUUCCACAGAAAAGAAUUAAUUCAAAUGCCAAUCCAAACGACUGAGAAACCCUAACCAAGACCAAACCGUACCAGAAAUUAGAAGAAAUGAAAAUGGGAAUCAAUUGGCAAGCAACUCCCAAAUCAACCCCAAAGAACUCCCAAAUAAAUGAAUUAUCAGAGGUGCCUUCAAAAACCAAAUACCAAAAAUGCAUAAAAACUCCCAACCAAUUCAACGGGAAAAACAAAAUUAAGCAAAUCACCUCCUGUGUUUAUCCAUCAAGGAACAACCCAAAAGCACAAAUUCCAGUAACUGAGGAUUCAGGAAAAAUGCCAAAACAAGGGUAGAAAGUUAAUACCUCCACCUGUCAAUUUUGACAGGUAGUGAUGCGCGGCAAGGAGGUGGCGCACGAGGUGGUGGCGAGCUUUGGAAGAUGAGUUGGCGAUAGAGGCUGUCAGCUACGCGUGCGACUGUGCGCACAAUGGGAGGAGAGAGGCGCGGCGAGCUGGUGGACAGCAGCAGCGGCACGGGCUGGUGGCAGUGGCUGUGGAGCGUGGGCAGGCGGCGGUGCGCAGCUGGUCAACGAAGGAGGAGAUGGGCGGCGCUCGGGCUAAGGAGAGAGUGAUUUGGGGGCUGUGGCGGCGUGGGGUGGAGUUGCGGCGGCGGUCAAAGGCACUGGUGAGUGGAGGUGGCGGGAUGGAGCUUGGAACGGAGGAGCUCAGCGAGCUGUGGGUGGACGGCCGUGGGCAGGGGAGCAGCGGCGGCCUUUGGAGCUGCUGAAGGUGGUCCGUGAGGUGGAGCUUGGAGCUCGGAGGCGGCGGCGAUGGAAGCUAGUCAGCGGCGUGCGGCAAUGGAUGAGAAAGGGAGACUGGUGGCGUCGGGCUAAGGAGAGAGUAAGGGAGAUGAUGGCGGAUGAGCGAAAGAAAAGAAGGAAAGGGAUACAGGGCAGCGAGGAAGAAGAGGAAGAAAAGGGAAAGAAAGGAAAGAAAAAAGAGAAGAAAAAGGAAAAAGAAAAGAGAGAAAGAAAAAAAGAAAAUAAAAUGGUUUUGGGGUUUUUUUUCAAUAUUUUUUUUUCAAUUUUUUCCCUAAUUUAAAUUUUCAAAAUUUGAAUUUUUGAAGAAAAAAAGAAAGAAAAAUGCUCUUUGAAUUUUUGAAUUUUCUCAAUGUGAAAUUUUAAAUUUUUUUUUGGUUUUGGAUCGUCAAACACCGCGUGAGCACGCCAAGAUUACACUUCCUGGUCACAGUAGAGGAAAAUAUUAAGACGACUACCACCCAAAUGAGAAAUGACAAAAUGAAAGUAAUGAACAAUGAAAAACGAUAAAACUAAUAUUUGGGUUGCCUCCCAAAAAGCGCCUUUCUUUUAUGUCUUUGGCCAGACAUUGCCAUAUUUGUUUAGGGAGGAUAAAAUCUUGUACCUCGGUUUAAUGUUUCAUCCUCUAUAUAGUCCUGAUAACCCUCGUAAAUAGAGUAAUUCUUGAACACAUGAGCUACGGUCUUCCCUGGACUAGUAAAUGGUGCCAAACAAGUCAACAAUAAGUUGAAUUUUCCAUUCACUCCUCCAUCACUUGCAUUUAUUGGUUUAAGAUAUCUUGCCAUCGCCACUCUUAAUUUAUUUCUGUCAUGAAAUUCGAAAUUUUCUGAUAUAAUAAAAUCAAUUUCAUUAACAGGAAUUGAAGAAUAAGAGUUAGAAGAAUAUUGAUGAAGGAAUGCGAUGUCACCGCAUUUGAAGAUUGUUCACUGGUUUCAUUCACUUGAACGAGUUGAUACUGGGGCAUUAUUUCUUGCACUUCACCUUUUUUUUCAACUGCAUCUUUAGAUCCGUUUUCUUGAAACUCUUGCAGUUCCAUGUCAUUUGACGGGAUAACUGCACUCUCAUCCUCUUCAAGGUUGAUAUUGGUUUGUGAGGGCAAUUCUUCAAGGUGAGAAGCUAAUCGCUCUAUCCUGGAUGUCAAUUGAUUCAUUUGAUCCGCCGGAUCCCUAAUGCUCGCUUGUGUCUCCUGAUGAAAUCGAUAUGUAUUAGUAGCAAAUAAUUCAAUCAAUUCCUGAAGAGACAUACCUGACAUGGAUGAUGGCUGUUGAGAUUCUUGCUGUUGAAAAUCCAUUGGCCCGGUCGCAUAAUUAAAAUUGGAAUCAUCCCACCAUCCUUGAUCAUACCCGUUUGAAUAAGGAUCGUACCACGUUUGAAAUCGAGGUGAAAAAUCUCCAAAAGUAUCAAUUGGAGCACUUAGAUUAUCUUGAAAUGCGGGGCAUGUGUCGGUUGAGUAACCUGAGUCAAAAUAAGUUCCACAAUUUGCAACAGUCCAUUGACCAUUAGGAAAAACUCGAGUCUCAUAACCUCAUUCGGGAAUAAAGUCCAGUCUAUCAUCAAAAUAUGGAAUGUUAGCUACCAUAAACUAUAUAUAACAAAAAAGAGAAAAAAAAAAAACAAGAUGAACUAAAAAAAAACAAAUUAAUUAGGCACCAGUCCCCGGCAAUGGCGCCAAAAAUUGACAGGGUGUCGAGCCUGUGCAAUAAUAAUUACCUACUCAAGAAAAACAUAAAUUCUGUAUAUAGCGGUGAGCAGGGUCGAAUCCACAGGGAUUGGAGAUAAUUCGUUUCUUUUAGAGUCCAAAGUAUGGGGGGGGAGUUUUUUGGAGAAUAUAAAAUAACUAAUUAACUAACUAAUAAAACAACUAAUAGAAAUAAAUAGAAAUUAAUCAAUUACCAAUAUGACUCUAGUCAAAAGUGCAACUUUUCAGAUACGGUCCAUUCAACUGAUCAUCGAUGCAAAGAUAAUUCAAUUACUCAUUACUAGAUUGGUUAUAGUUGUCAUACACGUGAUGAACAACCAGCCUUUUCUUAAUUUCUCGAUAGUUAAGGUACGACCGUUAACUAUUUUUCUAACCAAGUAAUAACCCUAGGUACGACCAUAGGAUUUAAUUACUCGAUUGCGUUAAUAAUUAGAAAAGCCCAACUCUAACCAACAAACACGCUACGAGGGUUUGUUUAAGUUAGAUCAUACGUUUCCCUAACAUGAAACCAAUCACGCUAGUCGCCACUGGUAUUAAUCAAUUGAACAAUUACGGAUUCAAUCAAUUAAUUUAGAAUUAGAUCAUUAAGUUAAUUCGAAUAUCGGGCCCUUGACAUUCAAAUAACAUAACAAACAUAAGCAAUUAAAUCAGGAAACGUACAAAUACCAAUGAAUAAAAGAAAUAAAUAAAAUUAAUUCGAUCUCACAGAUAUUUGGAACCGCGUCUUCAAAUUGACUUUCGACUAGAUAAAAGGCUUAGUUCAUCUACAUGGAGGAAACUCCAUGCGAAAUUGUAUAAGUAAUUAUUCUAAACAAAGCUAUGUUUUCGUCCUCCAUAGAAGAAAACGGCAAAGCUAUAUAUAAAGUAAUGAAUACGAAGGAACUACCUAGAAGCAAAAACAAAACGAAGCUCUCCUAUUCUAAAACAAAAACUACUUGUCUAGUGGUCCCCGCCGAAUUUAGAUAAAAAGGUGCAAUCUGUCAGAUCAAGCUCUGCCGACUUUUUCUCCUCUUAGUUGCCUAUUGCUAGGCAAAGACUUCAGUGCCCAGACCAUUCCUAAUCAGUGGAAAGAAAAUGCACUCCCUCUGCUGCACUCUGUGGGCUAGGUUGUUGAAGCUCUUUGGAGUCUCCCAUGUGUGGAGCUGUUUUAUCCUUCAGAUGGUCUCCCUCUUUUUUUUCUUUUUAUUUUCUUUUGUAUACUUUUCUGCUCCAUUCCUGAAAUGAGAUUCAAAUACUAAAUAUAAAUAUAUAUUAACAAUUAAACAAUAUUUAGUAAGGAUAGAGAGAAAAUUAAUAAUAAAAUAAUCAAUAAUUAACACCCUAUCAAUAUACAUUUAAGCUCAAUUUUUACUAAGUGUUAAGAUGAUAAAUUUGAAUUUCCUAUGACUCUAAUAACAAUAAAAUAUCAUUUUUCUUGUCAAACAACAUGCAAAAAACAAAAAAAGGUAGAAUUUCAAAUUAAUCAUAAAUGGGUAAUUGAGUAUUCUCAUGUCUAUUUGUUAAAUUGAUAUAAAUGAAUUGAUUCAAUUAUAACUAUUACUCAACUAGAAUCCGCUCAAACCCGUUUAAGUUAAUCAUUUUGACACCCCUAAUGUUAAUAUAUAUUGACAAGUGAAAAGUGCAGCAUUUAUCACGAAGAUAUACUUAUUUAUUUUAAUAUUAAAGUCAUUUUUUCAUUACAAAAAUAUUGAUAAUUUCAUAAUUUCAUGGAAGUAUGUAACCAGUGACAUAACAUAGUCGCCAGUGGCGAAUCUUGUCACGAGCCUUCUUUUCAACGCUUUGAUUAUGGCAUACACCUUUAACAAUAUGCCCCCACGUUGUCUUUCGAUCACUUUUUUUUUUUUUUUUAACCUCACAUUCGUUCGUUAUGUAUGUAUAAUUUCUUUACAAAAAAGUGAAAAACUCCAAAAACGUGGCAGCUCAAACGGGGCCAACAAUCUACUAUGUUCGCCUGUUCUCCCCGGACCCACCAGCCGCGGCGGCCAUGGGUCAUCUAUAAAAGCAUAGAUCAAGACUACACUAAUCCCUCAUCAGUCCAAUCCAUCCAUACUUCUUCUUCAGGCCUCAGCUACUAAACAAUAAACUCUGCUCCACUCAAUUCUUUCCUCUGUUUCUUGUGGUUUUUGUCUGAAAAUGGCGGCAUCAGAAGAAGUGAAAGUGCCAAGAAUCAAGCUGGGGUCGCAAGGUUUUGAAGUUUCAGCUCAAGGGCUGGGCUGCAUGGGCAUGUCAGCCUUCUACGGGCCGCCAAAGCCCGAGCCUGAUAUGAUCAAACUCAUUCACCAUGCUAUUAGCAGAGGCAUCACCCAUCUUGACACCUCCGAUAUGUAUGGACCUCACACCAACGA